rnacentral:lncRNA from 1 species
CUCAUUAACAUCUUCCAAGUCAUCGGAUUCAGACUCACCAUCUUCCGUAAAUAUAGACAGGUCUUCAUCAUCCUGUGUCAUUACCAGGUGGACCCCGAAGCUUUUAAAACGCAGCGAAUCUUCUGCCCAAGUCGGAAAAUUAACUCGACACGCAAAAGGCGACUUCGGCCAGGUAAUCUGAUCAUCCCGGUAAAACAUUUCUCUGAACUGAAUAUAGCACAGCCACACAUGACCUGACCCUAUCUUUUUGAAAUAGUAAUUGCACUGAAUAAAAUAAGGUUCCACUCCUGGUUGAUUGAUGGAAAUUUUUGGUACAAAACCAUGGAAACGUCGUCUUUUGUUUUGGGGGUUUUCAACAGCAGCGUAUAGAGCCAAUCCUUGGUUCUGGCAUUUGAAGUUUGGAGGGAUUUGAAUCAAAAAUUUACAUGCGUUAUCACGCUCCUUCACAUCCUUAUGACAGCUGAACAACGUCGAGAAAACUUCAAAACUUGCUGGAAAUACAACCUGAAAUCCAUGUUUCUGUGAAGACAGAAGGUGAUCAAAGAAGAGAGUGAUCUGCUCCUUUGCUAAAAUGUUAUGCUUCUUUGUGAGGUCACGAGCCAGAUUGCCGCACAGUCUCUGGCAAUUACCCAAGUCCACCAACUCAAUCAUUUGUAAGUCUUUUUUACCUUUCAGAAUGUUGGACAACGAUGAAAACCUUUCCAAUGAUACGCAAUCACUCGCCCCUAACUUUACUAUUUUUGGUGGAAGUUCCGGAAUAUCUCGAAGCCUCUUGCAGCCAUGCAAGUAAAGAUCCCGCAAAUUGACAAAUUUCGUAAUGCAUUUGGGAAUACUUACAAGGAAAUCACUUCGUCUUAGAUCAAGUACGUUCAAUGUAGACACACAAUCAAGAGUCCUCAGGAAAUUAAAUUCUGAUAAAUUGUUUCCUUCCAACUUGAAUUCCGCAAGACUGGGAAGCGCUAAAGUAUGUGAUACUGGACUCCCCAAAACUUCAGACUUCACUUUAUUUGGAAAUCUAACAAGCUUUCGACUUCCUUGGAGACAAAUUUCAUUUAGAUGUUCCAACUCAUAAAUGCUGGAUGGCAGAUUCGUCAGAUUUUCACAAAUGCUUAUGUCUAAAAAUUCAAGACUGACGAGAUAUGCAAUUGACGCAGGCAAUUCUUUGAUGCCACUACCACAUAGAAACAAGUGACGUAAGGAAUCCAUCUUCCCCCCAAUUUCAGGGAAAGUCUCCAGUCUUCUGCAAUAUACAAGAUAGAGAACUUCUAGAGAUUUUGACUUGAUUAUUGGAAAUAGUGUGAGGUUAUGGCAACUCUGAAGACUCAAUUUCACAAGCUUAUCAUGAAAUCCAACAGAAGGAUGAACCUCAACUAAACUUGUGCAGUCGUCUAGAUUCAAGGACUGUAAGUUUGGAAUUCCAGAGAUAUUUGGGCUUUUUGUUAGGAAUUCACAGCUCUUAAAAUUCAUGGACGUCAAAUUUUGCAAACGCUAUAUAAGACAAAAAUAGAAAAUAAAAAGAAGGAUCAAACGGUAAGGCAUAAACAAGUUCAAGCCAUAACUCCAAAAACAUAAUAAACUUUUGAAAAUACGAAGGGAUGAAAAUAAUUUAAAUUACCUUGAAUCCCUCCCCAAGUUGUGACAAGCGGCUAUAAGGCAUAUAAAGUUCAACAAGUUUCCUUGGAUUGAAAGUAGAUGGUAAAGUUUGUAGAGGACAAUUAGGCCAAUGAAGAAACCUCAACUCAUUAGAUAGAUAAUCCACGUGAUCGCCACUAAAUCGUGCAUUCACAUUGAUGAAAAGUCGAAGGUUUUUCAUCUUUGAGAAGCUGUCACCACUCAAGCAUAUGUCAUCUGGUGUCGGAAACUUUGCUAUGAUGCCUUUAAUAUUAUUUGUUCCCUAUUAUCAAAAAGCAGUAGUGUAAACAUACAAAGCUCUUUAGCAAAUAAAAAUGCAAGUGUACACAUCACACAACAGACUUACUGUUCCUUCUGUUAGAACACGAUAAACAUCCUCGUGAAACCACAAUCUGCUACGUUCACCAGGCUCAUUUGGCGACUGUAGAUAAACUAUUCCUCUACCCAAUUCUUCAAGCAAGUCAUGCAUCCCAAUUAUGCCUCGUUCAAUAUUUAUGAGGGCCUUGUCUACGAGUACUUUAAUAGCAUACUUAGGCUUGAGGUCACAACCUUCCAGGAUCGGUAUCACAUGGUUCACCUUUCUACCGUUAAAGAAACAUGCUAUGUCAAGGAAAACUUCUUGCACUGAAUAUUCCAAUGCAUCAUAGCUUAUUUUGAGAGUUUUUUUAAUGUCCGGGUGCAGAUUCCCAUCCAAUGCAUCAUGCCACUCAUCUAUACUUCUACCACAUAGAUGAGAACCUAAAACCUUGAGAGCUAAAGGAAGACCUUGAGCAUGCUUCAGCACAGUUUCUGCAGCUUUCACAUAAUCAUCAUCCAAAUUUUUAUUUCUCCCACCAUUCCAACUAAUGAAGAGAUCAAGAGAUUCACCAAAGUUUAAUUUCUUGGCCUUAUAUAUAAUACUAACUUGAUGAGAAGUUAGCAAAUGCUUAUCUCUUGUCGUUAUGAUGAUUCUACUGCCCAAACCAAACCAAUCACAACCUCCAACUAAGUUGUUUAAUUGGUCCAAAUGAUCCACAUCAUCUACAAUUACAAGGACCUUUUUACCACUCAACCUUUCCUUUAUCACACUGAUUCCUUUAUCGGCACUGGUAACCUUUAUUUCCUUUCCCCUUAGAAUCUCAUCAAGAAGAAGAUUUUGUAGGUCGACUAGGCCUCCAUAUGGUAUUGAUCUUUCUCUUACUUUUUCCAGAAAACAACUCCCUUCAAACACAUGGGCCAGUGAGUUAUAAACAGCUUUAGCAACAGUUGUCUUUCCUAUUCCAGCAGUCCCCCAUAUUCCUACCAUGCGAACAUCAUUUCCGUCAACAUCUAAAACUUUAUGAAGAUCUCGUACACGAGCCUGUAUUCCGACUUGGUAUUUUGCCACAUUGAUAUGGGUAUCAUUUAAUACUUGUAAGGAAAUCUCGUUGACAAUGUUCUGAAUAAAUUCAGUUUCACGGCUGCCAAUUUCAAGCACAAACAACAAUUAAAUCAAAUGGGAUUUUUCUAUAUAUGUUAUAAAGAAGUGCUCGAUACUAAUGUCAAUUAUGUCAUGAAUCUAUAUAUAUAAAGCAAAAAAUAGAGAAUAAUGAAACAUUCAAAAUACCAUAAAAUGUCAUUGGUUAAUGUAAACAUUUUAACAGAAAUAUAUUGAAAAUGUCUAUUACUCUAGAGAUUUCUACCAAAUGUCCAUCACAUUUUAACAGUUAAAAUAACAGAUUCUGCAACCCUGGGAGAAAUAAAUUGAAAUUAAAGCAGAGCCUCAGAAAAGAAAAAAAUAAUAACGGAUCCUAAAUGUAUAUUAAAGACAGAAAUAUACCGCAUCAGAAAAGGAAAAAAAUAUAAAUAAUAAUAAAUAAAUAAAUAAAACAUACCCCUCCAAGUAAUGCGACCCAGACAAAUUUGCAGCUUCUGUAAGGGUUUCCUUCCAUCUCAGAACCUUCUUCAUAUUGUCCUCGAAUUUACUUUCAUCAUGGUUAGUAAGUUUCUGUUCUUUGAAUUUGCGUUCAUGGUUAUUCAGUGCCUCGCCAUAACUACCUCUUUGGUUCCUUACAUCUGAGGGAUCCACUUUGUAGAAAACUGGCCAAACCAUCUGUUGCUUUGAUUUUCUACACUGAAUGAUAUGAACAAGUUCAUCCAAGCACCACUUCGAGGAUGCAUAUUUUUCAGAGAAUACGAUGAUGGAACACCUCGAUCCUUCAAUUGCAUCAAGAAGUGCUUGUGAUAUUUCCUCUCCUCUUGGGAGCUCAUCAUCUAUGAAGGUUCUGAUGCCCCUCUGGACCAAAUUUUUGUGCAGAUGGUCUGUGAAAUUGUAGCGUGUGUCCUCACCUCUAAAGCUGAGAAACACAUCGUGGGUCCAUGAAUUGGUGAAAGAAGAAGAAGAAGAAGAAGGGGAAGGAGCUCCUAAUAAUUGAGUGGUGUCUAGAUCCAUAUUGUUGAAAAUUGAACAGGCUGAAAGGGUUGGAAAUUAUAGUGAUUUAUUGUCCGAGAGUCUCUGGUUGGCAAUGUCAGUGGGGAGACGAAUCAUGUGAGUGAAAAGUCUUCGUCUUUCUCGGCCCCAAGAGCCCCUACCUCUGCUGGGUCUCUCUAGACCCGAGGGACAGUUUUAAAUUUUUUUAAUUUUUAAUUUUAUAUAAUUAUUUAAUCAAUAAAAUAAAACUAGUUUGUUACUCUUUCAAAAGGUUUCCGUGAAUGGCGGGAAGAAGAACCACCUUCAUUAGUGGUUGAAUCCAUUUGAUUGCAGAAAAGGAUGUUGGGAAAGGCUACUUUCCUUUGUUAUAUAUUAGGUGUUUACUCAGUGCUCCGCCAUUUGCUUGUAUUAAAAAUAAAAUUAGGCCAUCCCAUCUGCGAAGUAGUUUCCUCUGUCAUUUUCAGAGUGGAUGAGAAGUCAAAAGGUGAAUAUUAUAAAACAGAAGACUGCAUUUUUGUUGCAACGUACGGUUGUUUCGCAAUUCAGAAGUAACGUAGAAGUUCGGCGUGUAGGAAAAAAAGACAAAAUGCGUAGAUGAUGAAGAUGCAUAAAAUAACCUCCUCUAAAUAUUUUGUUAGAAGACAAAACUUUGUUUCUUUUCCUUUUUUCUUAUUAUAUGACCUAAUAUUUGAAAAAUAAUAUUGAUUCCUUUAUCGACAAAAUGGCCUAAUUAUUUACAGAAUUUAAAUAAAUUUUUAUAAUAAAAAUUGAUUUUAAUCCCCACUUGAUACACGCACAUAGGACACGCUUAGGAUAUUCAUUAGGAAAUAAAAUCAAUAGGAUCCAAAAUUUGGUGUUUAUAGGAUAUAGGAUGAUAAGCUAAAUUCAAUAGUCUCAAUACGAACUCAAUAUCACUCAAACUCACUAUGCAACACAUUUCAUUCAAUUCUUUUGUGCCAAAAUAAUUGACUACUCGAACAUCUUCUAAAAGUUUCAUUACGUCCAUGGAGUAUAACUCAGUUGAUUGAGCUCUUUCACCUCCACUUAUGUGGGCAAAAGUUCGAGACACCUAGGCACCCAAUGAAUAUUUGUGUAAACCACUCUCCCCCAAUCACUUGUGCUAUAAAAAUAUAUAAAAAAAUAAUUACAAAUUCCCAUGUUUUUCUUAUCAUUUCCAUUGUUUUUUUAAUCUAGUUUUUAUCAAUAUCAAUAAUUUUUCACAGAUAUUUCCAAAUUUUUAGACCACUAAUAUUUUUGAAACUCUAAAUGCCUGUUUGGCAUUGUUUAUUUGGAGCAAAAAUCACUUUCUUAAAAAGUUUUCUUCCACCUAGCUGUUUGGUAAAUGAAAAAAUAAUCUGAUUAUAUGAAUAAUUGCUGUCAGCCACAGUGAUUUGAGGAAGCUGGUCAGGGGGUGAUUUUAUUUCCGCUUAUGCGGAAAGAGGGUGGGGAACCGGUGCUCUUUAAUGAAUGUUUUAAAAAUGCCCAGAUUAUUCUCAUUGGCUUUUGAAAAUGACAUCCACUAUCGUCUUCAUUUGAUCAUGUAUUCUUGAAUCGCUGCUUCCUCUCCUCUCACGUUACAUAGUGAGUUCAGUUCUUCUUCUUCUUCUCUUCACACCUUUCUUCUUUAAUUUGUCUCCAAGAUUCCUACAACCCCAGAUCUAAAGUUUGUUUCUUAUCUUUUUUCAUUCUGGAUUUGGGGCAGUUAGUCCUUUCUGAUGGUCCAAUCCUGAUAGUCACGUUUCUAGUUCUCAACAAAGAACAAAUCUUAAUGGUCCUUCAAAUCAACGGAUUGGAUCCAGUAUCAAUUUCAUCAUUUUGGGUUUUCAGUGCAACAGAGUGAUAAAAGGUUUUCAGUGCAACAGAGUGAACAAAUCUUAUUGUUUUCUUGUGUUUGAUGGGCUGCAAUGAAUUUGUAGGUUGUAUCCCCUGUGUUCACUCUCUUUCUGGGUUUCUCUUGUUCUAGUCCUCAUUUGCAACUUUAUCCAAAUUAUUUUUUUAUAAAUUCUCUUGUUCUAGAACACUUUUAUUUUUAAUACUCAUUCUAAACUGGUUUCCUUCAAUCCUUUUUUCCGUUUUCAAAAUCAUUGGGUUUUCAAUAAUGAAAUGCUGUAUUAAUUGACGACAAACAAAACAAAACAAAACAAUGUAGGAUCAGCCCACAUAACGCAUCUGGAAGAAAGAGGCGAAGGGUGGUCAUAAUUUCUAAAUUUACUUCACAAUAAGGAAAGGAAUGCAUAUAUGCAAGUAUGACUGUAUGAGUAGCAACGUAUAUACUCGAUGGGAAUUGGCAUUUGGUUGUUGGCCAUGGAGUUAAAUGGUGUGAACAAAAAUUACUAAUGAAGAGGCAAGAGGGCACUGAAUACUGCAAUCGUGAUAGGAAGAUUUUGGGUUGUUAUUAUAUUCAUUUGUGAAUUACAAUAGUUGAGUUUUCAAUUGAUCAUAAUAUUCAGGUUUUAGGUAUUGAAAUUAAAAAUAAUAACCUCAUGCCCUUUCUAGUCACUAUACACAGUCCAAACACUUUUACACAAAAAUUUACCAAACAUUCGUAAACUUAAUAUUGUUUCAACAUCACUUUUAACAAAAAGUUUACCAAACGCCAAAUUGAUUUAUUUCACAGCUGAUUUCUCAUAUAGCAAAUUUAACCAUGAUUAUUUUCACAGCACAGCAAUGCCAAACUGACUACCUUACUUCUUACCCAAAAAAAUUGUCCUUACUUAUUGUAAAAUUAAUGAGACAAUAACUAUUUAUAACAAAAACCAUGAUUGCACUCAUAAUAUGCAUCAAUGUACAUCACAGAUGCAAAGUAGUUUCAUGUCAUCUUCAUAGUGGAUGUGAAGUCAAAGGGAAUAAGAAAAUGGUCAAAAGGAAACAACAACCAACCACAAAAGAAAAAGAAAAAAGAAGCAUCACUACACUUUCGUUGCAACAUGGUUAUUUAACAAGUAGUUGGGGGUGUGGAAAAAAAGACAAAAGGUCGAUUGAUGAUGAAGAUGACUAAAAUAGAUCAGGAUUGUCAAAAAUAACAUCUAUAAUUGUUAGAACACAAAAUUUUGUUAUUGGCGAGUCAGUUAAUUCAUAAUGUGUCAUGCUAUUAGAUAGAAAGGUAUUCGUAUAAUGUAUGUGAGUUUAGUAAAUUAUCGCCCCUCUCAAUAAGGGCUUGCAAGUAAUGAGACACAUAACCUAAUUAAAAGACAGGAUUGUAAUUAAACCGAUAUUUUGUUGAUUAAGAAUGAAUGCAAUUUUCAAAAAUAAUAUCAUGAACCCAUUCAAAUUGAGUGAGAGGGACUUCGUCGAUCUUUUCUUCUAGCAGAUCAAACUUGUUCAGUAUCAAAAUGAAGUCUUUAUAUGGUCAAUGACUGGAUAGUGAGCGUAUGGUGGAAUGUCUAGUUUUGGGGUGGGUGGUUUCAAUUGGGUUGCCACCAAAUAUAUACUACUAGAUAGUAACUUUUGAAUUAAUGAUGCCAAGGGCUUAAAUAAGAUGGAGUAUUUAAUCAAACUUCUUGUUUCAUGAUGCUAUAGUCAAUUGUUGCAUGACUAAUACCUUUUUUUUUUUUUUUUUUUUUUUAAUUUUAUGUUUUUUCGAAAAGGCAGAUUUCAUUCCAUUAGAAAGGAGGAAUAAUGGGCAUGUAAUACAUAGCCUCGUUAAAACCUUCCCGGAGAAACCACACGUGAAAAAUCCCGGAGUAAGAAAGAGUACCACAAAUGCUGAUGAAGUACACAACAAGAAAAAUUACAUUGCAUCACUAUUCCUCCUUUUUAGUUCAAGAGGUAUCUUUUUUUUUCUUUUUUUUUGGUGGUUUUCUUUGUGCAUGCUCUUGGGAUUUAUAGUACUUUACUCUGUUGUGAUCAAUGUUAUGUCUAGAGUACCCAAUGUUAUAUAACUCCCCCAUUGUAAUUUCUAUAACUCAUAACUCGCAAGAAAGAAUUCAACCUCCCCGUAGUUUAGAAAAUAACUAUUUAAUUAAAGAUUACAAUCUGGUUUGGUUAAGUUAACUGACUAUAUAUAUAUAUAGUAGCAACGGUGCCCACGCGAUGCUACAGGUUUUAAAACCCUGUGAAAUGUAUACAAAGUCGUGAAAAUAUGUAGGAAAUAUGGUACUAUUUAUAUAGACAUGGAGAUCUAAAUAGUGGCAUCUUUGUUUUGCAAGUUUAAUACUCCCAAAGAAAAAAUUAGCCAAACUACAGACGCAAAAAUGAAUCUUAAUCAAUUCCAAAUAAUAGAGGCAGUGUUCAAACUUAGAAAGAUAGAAGAACUAAAAUUCAGAUAAUGGAGGUAAUGUUCAAACUUUGAACAUCUCUAACAUGACAUCACCAAAUCAGUAAAUAUUACACAAAAUCAGUAUAAAAACACAUGAAGACAAAAAAAAAAAUAAAAAAAGCAAAUAUUAACAACAAUAGAUCAUUACACAAUUUAGGGUGACCCUAACAACAAUUGAGGAAUUGAUUGCUUUUGUUAGAGACCAAAGCAAGUGUUUCUAAAACAGGGAAUAAGAGCAUAAAAGUUUUUGAAUGUUGGAUGCCCAUUUUUUACUUUUCCUUCCUCUUCCUCUAUUUCCCGAGAAAGCAAAUAAACAGAAUCAGCCAAAUAUCACCACAAAUCAAAUGUAUGGUAAUUAAUUAAAUGCCAAAGUAAGAAGUGCCAAAGAAUCAUUGAGCAUAAAAUAAAAAAAAACCAAAAAUCUGAGUCACCACUUGUAGAAGAUUAGCCCUUUGCUGGCAGCUCCUUUCACUUACAAACUCCUUGGUGUUCCAGUGCCACAACAACUUCAGUACUUGCUGCACAAUCCAAGCUCCUCAGUACUCGAUGCACAAUCCAAGCCCUGCAAGCUACAUUGGUAUUUGUUAUGGGUUGCCAUAAAAGGGAAUUUUCAUUUUUAAAGGUCCGUAUGUACGAAUCUAUAAAUGAGUUGCAAAACUUCCACAAAUAUCAAAUCAAACCACAGAUUAGUGGCAGCAUGUAUGUACCAAAUUGUGGCACAUCCCAUUUCAGCUCAUAAAUCGUCAAAUAAAAAAUCUAAAAUACGCAUUCAUAUCAUACAAGUUGGAAGGAUGAACCAAUAUUUUGCAAAAGCACAAAACUUUAUUAACAUCCCAACAAACCCAAAGGAUAAAAACAGAUAAUCAAAUCAAUCAUGAAAUACAGAAUUACAGACAGAAUACGCACAUAUAAGGAUGAAAUGCAACAAUUAAGACCACUCGCGCCACCCAUUUCUCUGUAAUUGAUCUUUCGCUUUUUCAUUGUCAAUCCAACAUACUUUUAAAUCUUUACCAAUCAAAUUUUACGUCUCCAAUUCAACCGGGCAUUUCGAGGGGAUGCCUCUGACGCAGCCUCCUUCACAUCUGCCACCAAAGCCAAACAUCAAACCUCAAUUAAUUCACAAACCCAGAAACCAACCCAACCCAAAUUACAUAGGGCAGAUAGAUAAAGAAGCAGGAUGAAGCAAAAUGAUAAUAAUUGGUCAAACAGAACCCAACAUGCACAAAAGCUUCAAAUGUCCAAAGCUCCAAAAACAAAACAUAAUAAUAAUAACCCGAAUUGGGCAAACCAAGUUCUACUCAGUAGUGGGUGGCUCUUGUGGGGAAGAAGAUGAAGCUUCAUCUGCAUAAGAGACCAAUGUACACAGUGGGCUUGCGUUUCACGUCCCAUGGCUGCGUUUUGCGAGGCCGAGUCUUCCUGUGAUGCGCAGUGGCCUUCUUCUGUGGCCUCGACGAACACUCAAUCAUCAACCCAGUACCUCCACCAACUGAGCCGCGCAAUGGGGAUGUCUUUGGGACCCCAAACGACUCGAUCGCAGAUGGGUUCUUCACGGCCACACCCAUAGCCACCAAUUGAGGCCCCAACACAGCUUCAGUUCUCACAGUGAGAAAAAGACGAUGGAAUUGGGUUUUCCUUCUCUCAGCGACUCCGACGAAGAGGAGAGAAUAGCGCUGGAGGGCAAAACGGCUAAUUCACUGCUCAUAAGUCAACUCAAGGAAGCAGACCAUCACUUAAGCGGGGGCAAAACCGUCACUUCGCUAUUCCCAAGCUACAGUCCAGGAACAAUGACUCUGGGAUCAGUUUUAGUAUAUAUAUAAUUUAUAAAUAAAUAAAAAGAACUUGUGUAUUUUGUUUCUUUGUUUGUUAAAAAAUAAUGGGAGAUAUUAUUGGCACCCCAUUAUUUGCUCUUUGCACCCCAUAUUAAUUUUAAACAUGAAUAAUUUAUUUAACCUUCGUACAUAAUUACCGUUAAGGACAAAAAGCAUUUAUAAUAAAAAUUAAAUUUGCUCACUACACCCCAUGUAUGUUCCUGCAACUCUAGUUAGAAUUUUUUUCUUAAACCAUCAUGUUCCUACAAUCCUAAUGAGCUUUAUACGCUUAUAUUGGUGAAAAAUAUAUUGUAUUUAUUCAUGAAGGGUGAGAUUGAAGUUAGAGAGGCUUCGAAUGAGUUAUGAGUUUAUUUUUUGGCCUUUUUCAAGCUUGGGAUUUCUUGAUGGUUCGCUAGUUGCGUUUAGCAAACCAGUACCGAACGCGAUAGGUAAAUUCGGUGGGAUGCCACCGAAACAUUGCACCUAUUUUGGUUGCGUUUGACUGGCCGUUAACUUCAGAUGCAGUGGAGAUCCACCAUAAUAUAAACGGUGUUCGGUGGUUUAUUACAGAAUUUUUACCUACAAUUCAGUGGCAACGAACCGAAAUAUAUUUAUUUUUUCAGUAACUUAUUGUCGACCACAAAUUUAAUAUAAGCUAUUUUGACCUUACUCCCAUUGAAGGAACAAAAACAAGAUGACGCCCUUAAAAUAGAUGACACAUCAUCAAAUGUGAUGGUCAUCUCACUAAAAGGCAUGUGAAAGAUGUUCGUUUCAAGAUGCCAUCUCUCAAUAAAGGUAGAUAUAACAAUCUUAUCUGCAUUCCGAUAAGAACACUAAAUAAGUUGCUCCAAUCCAUACCUCUAAAUGUACCAUUUGAAUAUACCAUUAUUUGGAUUAGCCCUCCAAUUUCACUAAUGAAGGAUAGAUGUCUUCGACAUGCACCUAAGGUGCUCACAUUCCUAGUAAAAAACAAUAUUAAGUACAAACUCAAUAACGAAUUCAGUAGAUGAUCACUGAAACAAGAAACGAAUUCACGGAAACAAAAAAUGAAUUCAGUUGACUACUACUGAAAAACAUAAACAUAUUCAAUAGACUGUCACUAAAAAACUGAAACAGAUUAUGUGAACUACUAUUGAAAAACGUAAACACAUUCGGUGGGUAGCUACUGAAAAUAGAAAACAAAUUCGAUGGACUACCGUUGAACAAGGUAACGAUUUUAGUGGGGUUUACACAGGUAAGUUAGGGAAUGGGGUUCAUGAGGGCAAUCUAGGAAGAAAAAUGAGGUGUAUUGAGUAAUUUUAAAAUUUCCUAAAAUUCAGUGGGGUGUAAGGAGAAUAUGAGGUGGAAAGAGCAAAUGUUAGAGUGCCAAUAAAAUCAUCCAAAAAUAAUAUAUGGUUUAAUGGGUUGUCCUGUUAAGGGAAAGCUUGGAGGCAAUAAUUUAAACUUUUGGAAAAACAAUAAUCCCAAAUGUAAGAACAAUUCAUCCACUAAUAGCUUGCAAAAUUAUAAUUUAAAUGGAAAAACAAAAAACAAAUGCACUAGUAAUAAGUUAAUGUAUCUACUAAACUUAAUUACAUGGAGGCAAUCUAAUGGAUCACUAGUGAUUUUUUAGUCAAAACAACCUAGUUAUAUAUAAUUACUGAAAAAAAUAAUCUCAUUUUUCACGGCCCAAGAACGGGCAAGGGUCCUUCAAUAAGUUAAACAUGUUUACAAGGUGUCACCAAAGCACAAAACGGUCCAUAAGCAAACGAACUGUGGCCUCUGAAAGACUAGAGGAAUCCAAGUCCCUCUGAAUCUGAACCAUUCUGCUGCUCUCUUUUCUUGCUUCUUUCAACACUUGCUGUUGUUCUUCAACCUCAUCAUCACCUUCUCCUUGUUUUCCCUUUGAUGAAAACACCAGUCGCUUCUUAGCCCCUACCUUGUCUUUCAGCUUUGCCAACUCGCUCAUCCAAACCUCCACCACUGCAGACAUGCUUGAACUUGAAAACAUGAAAACUGGCUUGGUCUUGACUCUUUGAGUUUGAUCAAGGAUGAUGGGGAGAGCUGGCUAUUAUGCUUGUUGGGUUAUAUAGAAGAGAGAGAGAGAGAGAGAGAGAGAGAGAGAGAGGGCCUUGCCCUUCAUGUGGCUUGGAUUGGAUGAAAAAUCAGUGUGUCACAGACAGCCGUUGGUUAUAGGCUCGCACACAGGAUUUAGUUUUAGGAAUAUUCCAGAGAGAGAGAGAGAGAGAGAGAGAGAGAGAGAGAGUACAAAGUGGGGUAUGAGUUUUGUUGAGUGAAUGAAAAGCUUCCCAGUGGGCGCACGGAACUCUCUUCUUUAGAUUGUGGGCGACUUGGCAUAUUACUAUUCAUCAAUAGUAUCCAUUGCAUCUUAGUUUUUCUUUUGUCUUAUUCCAACAUUGCAAAUCUCUCUUCCGGGUCAACCACCUCUUCAUCAUCAUCUUCAGUAAAAGUAGCCAUCUUCAUUAUCUUCACAGCUGAAGUAGUCAUGUUCCGAGUCUUGCUCAUCUUCACAUAGAUCAACACCUGAUUCAGACUCAUCGGAUUCAGACCUGUCAUUAGCAUCUUCCAAGUCAUCGGAUUCAGACUCACCAUCUUCCGUAAAUAUAGACAGGUCGUCAUCAUCCUGUGUCAUUACCAGGUGGACCCCGAAGCUAUUAAAACGCAGCGAAUCUUGUGUCAAAUUCUGAAAAUUAACUUGACACGCAAAAGGCGACUGCGGCCAGGUAAUCUGAUCAUCCCGGUAAAACAUUUCUCUGAAUCGAAUAUAGCACAGCCACACAUGACCUGACCCUAUCUUUCUGAAAUGGUAAUCGAACUGAAUAUAAUGAGGUACCACUUCUGGUUGAUUGACGGAAAUUUUUGUUAGAAAACCAUGGUAACGUCGUCUUUUAUUUUGCGGGUUUUCAACAGCAGCAUAUAGAGCCAAUCCUUGGUUCUGGCAUUUGAAGUUUGGAGGGAUUUCAAUCAAAAGUUCACAUGCUUCAUCACGCUCCUUCACAUCGUUAUGACAGCUGAACAACGUCGAGAGAGCUUCAAAACUUGCUGGAAAUACAACCUGAAAUCCAUGUUUCUGUGAAGACAGAAGGUGAUCAAAGAAGAGUGUGAUCUGCUCCUUUGGUAGAAUGUUUGGUUUCUUUGGGAGGUCACGAGCCAGAUUGCCGCACAGUCUCUGGCAAUUACACAAGUCCACCAACUCAAUCAUUUGUGAGUCUUUUUUACCUUUCAGAAUGUUGGACAAUGAUGAAAACCUUUCCAAUGAUAUGCAAUCACUCGCCUCUAACUUUACUAUUUUUGGUGGAAGUUCCGGAAUAUCUUGAAGCCUCUUGCAGCCAUGCAAGUAAAGCUCCCGCAAAUUGACAAAUUUCAUAAUGCAUACGGGAAUACUUACAAGGAAAUCACUUCUUGUUAGAUCAAGUGCACUCAAUGUAGACACACAAUCAAGAGUUCUGAGGAAAUUAAUUUCUGAUAAAUUGCUUCCUUCCAAAGUGAAUGCCUCAAGUCUGGGAAGCGCUAAAGGAUGUGAUACUGCACUCCCCAAAACUUCAGACUUCACUUUAUUUGGAAAUGUAACAAGCUUUCGACUUCCUUGGAGACAAACGUGGUUUAGAUGUUCCAACUCAUAAAUGCUGGGUGGCAGAUUCGUAAGAUUUUCACGAUUCCUUAGGUCUAAAAAUUCAAGACUGAUGAGAUAUGCAAUUGAUGCAGGCAAUUCUUUGAAGCCACUACCAGAUAGAAACAUGCAACGUAAGGAAUCCAUCUUUCCCCCAAUUUCAGGGAAAGUCUCCAGUCUUCUGCAAUCUUCAAGAUUGAGAACUUGUAGAGAUUUUGACUGGAUUAUUGGAAAUAGUGUGAGGUUAUAGCAUCUCACAAGACUCAAGUCAACAAGCUUAUCAUGAAAUCCAACAGAAGGAUGAACCUCAACUAAACUCGUGCAGUCGUCCAGAUUCAAGGACUGUAAGUUUGGAAUUCCAGAGAUAUUUGGGGUUUUUGUUAGGAAUUCACAGCUCUCAAAAUUCAUGGACUUCAAAUUUUGCAAACGCUAUAUGAGACAAAAAUAGAAAAGAAAAAGAAGGAUCAAACGAUAAGGCAUAAACAAGUGCAAGCCAUAACUCCAAAAACUUAAUAAACUUUUGAAAAUACGAAGGGAUGAAAAUAAUUUAAAUUACCUUGAAUCCCUCCCCAAGUUGUGACAAGCGGCUACAAGGCAUAUAAAGUUCAACAAGUUUACUUGGAUUGAAAGUAGAUGGUAAAGUUUGUAGAGGACAAUCAGGCCAAUGAAGAAACCUCAACUCAUUAGAUAGAUAAUCCACGUGAUCACCAUAAAAUCGUGCAUUCACAUUGAUGAAAAGUCGAAGGUUUUUCAUCUCUGAGAAGCUGUCACCACUCAAGCAUAUGUCAUCUGGUGUCGGAAACUUUGCUAUGAUGCCUUUAAUAUUGUUUGUUCCCUAUUAUCAAAAAGCAGUAGUGUUAACAUACAAAGCUCUUUAGCAAAUAAAAAUGCAAGUGUACACAUCACACACACAGACUUACUGUUCCUUCUGUUAGAACACGAUAAACAUCCUCGUGAAACCACAAUCUGCUACGUUCACCAGGCUCAUCUGGCGACUCUUGAUAAACUAUUCCUCUACCCAAUUCUUCAAGCAAGUCAUGCAUCCCAAUUAUGCCUUGUUCAAUAUUUAUGAGGGCCUUGUCUACGAGUACUUUAAUAGCAUACUUAGGCUUGAGGUCACAACCUUCCAGGAUCGGUAUCACAUGGUUCACCUUUCUACCGUUAAAGAAACAUGCUAUAUCAAGGAAGACUUCUUGCACCGAAUAUUCCAAUGCAUCAUAGCUUAUUUUGAGAGUUUUUUUAAUGUCCGAGUGCAGAUUCCCAUCCAAUGCAUCAUGCCACUCAUCUAUACUUCUACCACAUAGAUGGGAACCUAAAACCUUGAGAGCUAAAGGAAGACCUUGAGCAUGCUUCACCACAGUUUCUGCAGCUUUCACAUAAUCAUCAUCCAAAUUUUUAUUUCUCCCACCAUUCCAACUAAUGAAGAGAUCAAGAGAUUCACCAAAGUUUAAUUUCUUGGCCUUGUAUAUAAUACUAACUUGAUGAGAUCUUAGCAAAUGCUUAUCUCUUGUCGUUAUGAUAAUUCUACUGCCCAAACCAAACCAAUCACAACCUCCAACUAAGUUGUUUAAUUGGUCCAAAUGAUCCACAUCAUCUACAAUUACAAGGACCUUUUUACCACUCAACCUUUCCUUUAUCACACUGAUUCCUUUAUCGGCACUGGUAACCUUUAUUUCCUUUCCUCUUAGAAUCUCAUAAAGAAGAAGAUUUUGUAGGUCGACUAGGCCUCCAUAUGGUAUUGAUCUUUCUCUUACAUUUUCCAGAAAACAACUCCCUUCAAACACAUGGGCCAGUGAGUUAUAAACAGCUUUAGCAACAGUUGUCUUUCCUAUUCCACCAUUCCCCCAUAUUCCUACCAUGCGAACAUCAUUUCUGUCAACGUCUAAAACUUUACGAAUAUCUAGUACACGAGCCUCUAUUCCAACUUGGUAUUUUGCCACAUUGAUAUGGGUAUCCUUUAAUACUUGUAAGGAAAUCUCGUUGACAAUGUUCUGAAUAAAUUCAGUUUCAGGGCUGCCAAUUUUAAGCACAAACAACAUUUAAAUAAAAUGGGAUUUUUCUAUAUAUGUUUUAAAGAAGUGCUCGACUCGAUACUAGUGUAAAUUAUGUCGUGAAUUUUAGAUGAUGGAGUUACUACAUCAUGAUAUUUGAUAUGUCUAGACACUUCUUCUUAUUAAAAUCUCGGUUUAUUAGUUAAAAGUUGGACUCAACAUCCAUAACUGUCUUACAUUUAUCAAGAAGAAUAAUUAAAUGAGGGUUUUAUAAUCAACAUAAGGAAGAGCUGUUUGGUAGGUAUCUAAGACUAAUAAAUUAAUUAAGUAUUUUGUUCUUGGAAAUUAUGUAAUUUAUGGACAACAUUUUAUAUAUGUUUGUUGCAUGUUAUCAUAUACCAUAGGCUUAAUUUUUUCAAAUCCUCUAGGUGUGGGAUUGCCCUGGAGAGAGAGAGAGAGAGAGAGAGAGAGAGAGAGAGAGAGAGAGAGAGAGAGAGAGAGAGAGAGAGAGAGAGAGAGAGAGAGAGAGAGAGAGGUGGUGGAUGGGAUAGAGGAAGGUGGAGGGAGGGUCAUAAGAGAGGCGUGAGUGCGGCUGUUUAUGGCAGGGAUGGGUUGAUUUGAGAACUUAUUAUUUUUUUCACAAUAUUAAACCCAAAUAAAUAAGUUAGGGAAAGUACAUCAAACAUGGUUUUCUUCUUCUGUCUUACACUCCCCUUCUAUUUUCUUACUCUAUCGUUUAAUCGCUCUUCUCGAUUUCUCCUUACUAAACAAUUGUUUAUCAAACAUGUUACUAUUGUAAUAGAUUUUGAUGUUGUCUUUUGUCUAUUUUUGCUCAUUUUGCUUCAAGAUCUUGAAUUUGUCGUUUGGUGGUUGACAAAUGAAGUGCAGAAAAUAUAUCUAAUCUGUAGUUUCUAUUCAUUUUCAGUACUUUUGAUUGCAUAUCUUGAAUUUAUAUUGUUUGAUGGCUGAGAACAUGAGGGAAAAACAAACAAUUAGAAAAUUCAUGAACAAGCUAUGAUGUUAGGGAAAGCUUGUGAUGGAAUGGACACUACGAUAACAAUAGAAGAGAUUGGUUUUCGUAACAGAGUGAUUUUAUUAGAAAGGAGAGAUGUACACUGCUUGCUUGGUGUAGAACUAUGAGGCUAUUAAUAAUGUAGCUAUUGGUUGGCUAAUUGGCCUUUCAGUGAUGUAACUAUUUGCUACUUAGUGGGUUUGUAAGAUUGCAGGAUUUCAUCCAACACAAAAAAUAAAGGACUGCAGGAUUCCACUGGCAUAUUACACAAAGCCUUGUAAUCUCCUCUGUUUCUAUUAGAUUGUGUGAGGCUUAGAUAUAAGAAUAGUGUUUGGCUUUCUAGUAGAUUUCUUAGUUACAAUUCACAUUACAACACUUCAAUCCUAUUUAUUGGCAAUGUUUUCCGGCAAGUUUGCCGACUUGACCAACCACCAUGUCUACUACUUGGCUUUAUCAAAUAUUAUCAGCCACAUAAGCUGCAGCUUGCUCUAGACUGGAGCAUUCUACAAAACUCCUUAUAUGUUUGUGGCUAUUUGUUUAGCCGGCAAAGUUCACCGACUUGGUCAUUUAGUCCAGUAGCUACCCUCUUCUAGAUUCUACUACAAUUAUCUUAGAUAUCUGAUAGCUAUUGUAGCACUUUGGGAUUCUAAAUUAUUACUCUAGAGAUUUCUACCAAAUGUCCAUCACAUUUUAACAGUUAAAAUAACAGAUUCUGCAACCCUGGGAGAAAUAAAUUGAAAUUAAGGCAGAGCCUCCUGAUCCUAAAUGUAUAUUAAAGAUAGAAAUAUACCGCAUUCAGAAAAGAAAAAAAACAUACCCCUCCAAGUAAUGCGACCCAGACAAAUUUGCAGCUUCUGUAAGGGUUUCCUUCCAUCUCAGCACCUUCUUCAUAUUGUCCUCGAAUUUACUUUCAUCAUGGUUAGUAAGUCUCUGUUCUUUGAAUUUGCGUUCAUGGUUAUUCAGUGCCUCGCCAUAACUACCUCUUUGGUUCCUUACAUCUGAGGGAUCCACUUUGUAGAAAACUGGCCAAACCAUCUGUUGCUUUGAUUUUCUACACUGAAUGAUAUGAACAAGUUCAUCCAAGCACCACUUCGAGGAUGCAUAGUUUUCAGAGAAUACGAUGAUGGAACACCUCGAUCCUUCAAUUGCAUCAAGAAGUGCUUGUGAUAUUUCUUCUCCUCUUGGGAGCUCAUCAUCUAUGAAGGUUCUGAUGCCCCUCUGGACCAAAUUUUUGUGUAGAUGGUCUGUGAAAUUGUAGCGUGUGUCCUCACCUCUAAAGCUGAGAAACACAUCGUGUGUCCAUGAAUUGGUGAAAGAAGAAGAAGAAGAAGGGGAAGGAGCUCCUAAUAAUUGAGUGGUGCUUAGAUCCAUAUUGUUGAAAAUUGAACAGGCUGAAAGGGUUGGAAAUUAUGGUGAUUUAUUGUCCAAGAGUUUCUGGUUGGCAAUGUCAGUGGAGAGAAGAAACAUGCGAGUGAAAAAUCUUGGUCUUUCUGGGCCCCAAGAGCUCCUACCCCUGCUGGGUCUCUCUAGACCCGAGGGACAGUUUAACCAAAAAUAAACGUAGUAAUAAUAACACACUGGUAACAGCACUCUCACCCAAUUGUCAUGACAAAUAGCAAGGGCUGUUACUAUUUAUGCAAAAUUGGUCAAAGAAAGUAUUCGGUACUCUGUCAUUAAGACAAUUUACGCCCCACUACAUUGCUCAUGGUUGCGUUUGUCUCCUAAAAUACAACCACCACUUACAAUUGUAACUUUUUUCAUUUUACAUUUCAAACUUCAAAUCCAGUCGGCAAUUAGACCAGUAUUAACUAGUACAUGCAGUUACAUAAAAAUUUGAAUGCAAACCCUUUGUGUCUAGAAACAAUUCUGCACUAAAAAUAGUUUUCAGUUCAACAUUGGUCGUGUGUGUUUAUUUUCUUGUCUCACCACAACAACUUCCAAAACCACAGCAAAGCUAGCUGCAGUCAUUUUGUCACAAAAUUGUUCGUUUGUUAAAAAUAGUUUAUGGUUUAAUGGUUUGUUCUGUUAAGGGAAAGCUUGGUUGCAAUAAUUAAACUUUUGGUUUAUAUAUAAUUCCUUUAAAUCCAAAUGUAAGAACCAUUAAUUCAUCCGCUAAUAGCUUGCAAAAAUUGAUUAAAAUGGAAAAACAAAAAACAAAUACACAUCAAAUUAAUAGUACAGUUAUAUAUAUGCAAGAUUAGACUAAUAUUUUAAACAUGUUUACAAGGUGUUCACCAAGGCACAAAACGGUCCAUAAGCAAACAGACUGUGGCCUCUGAAAGCGUAGAGGAAUCCAAGUCCCUCUGAAUCUGAGCCAUUCUGCUGCUCUCUUUUCUUGCUUCUUUCAACACUUGUUCUUCUUCAACCUCAUCAUCACCCUCUCCUUGUUUGCCCUUUGAUGAAAACACCAUUCGCUUCUUAGCUCCUACCUUGUCUUUCAGCUUUGCAAACUCGCUCAUCCAAACCUCCACCACUGCAGACAUAAUUGAACUACUUGAAAACUUGAAAUUAUUGCUUGGUCUUGACUCUUGAGUUUGAUCAAGGAUGAUGAGGAGAGCUGGCUAUUAUGCUUGUUGGGUUAUAUAGAAGACAGAGAGAGAGAGAGAAAGAAAGAGGGCCUUGCCCUUCAUGUGGUUUGGAUUGGAUGAAAAAUAAGUGUGUCACAGCCGUUGGAUAUAGGUUCGCACACAGGAUUUAGUUUUAGGAAUAUUCGUUGGAGAGAGAGAGAGAGAGAGAGAGCAGAAGUGGGGUAUGAGUUUUGUGGAGUGAAUGAAAAGCUUCUCCGUGGGCGUGUGUCCUCACCUCUAAAACUGAGAAACACAUCGUGGGUCCAUGAAUUGGUGAAAGAAGAAGAAGAAGAAGGGGAAGGAGCUCCUAAUAAUUGAGUGGUGUCUAGAUCCAUAUUGUUGAAAAUUGAACAGGCUGAAAGGGUUGGAAAUUAUAGUGAUUUAUUGUCCAAGAGUCUCUGGUUGGCAAUGUCAGUGGGCAGAAGAAUCAUGUGAGUGAAAAGUCUUCGUCUAUGUGGGCCCCAAGAGCCCCUACCUCUGCUGGGUCUCUCCAAUCUAGGAGAAAUUAUAGAGUAGUACCGUAUCACCACGUCAGCUGGUGAUACUUCCACUCAAAAUAUGCCAUGUGUAAUUUUUUAAAAUUAAUUAUUCUUCAUUACAGCUGGACUUUAUUUUUAUCCGCUGAAAUAAAUUAGAAAAAUAAAAAACUUAAAAAAAAAAAGAGAGAAUAUCCCAGCAACCCAACCCUUACCCCCACGCCACCCCUCUGUCGUCGUCUUCCGACUGCCAUCAACAGUCAUUAGUAAGAGAGCCAAAUCCCCACAGCCUAAUAAAUUUUUGCAACAAGGAAACUUCAUCAUCAUUGUCAAUGAAUGUUAAUAUAUGAUGGAGUUUAUUAGAUCCAAUAUAAUACCCAACACAAUCAACCCUUUCCAUAUCAAUUUCAUGCUGGUCGAUUUGUAGCCUGUUUGUUAUAGACCCACCUCCCAUCCCAACCUUCUUCACAUCUGCUAGUGAGACCUUCAUCAAUGAAAAAAUAUAUAUGGAUCUUGGGGUAGUCACCAAAAGGUUGAGAAAGUUGAAGAACGGCAACAGAGAGAGAGAGAGAGAGAGAAAUAAAUAAAAGAGAGGGACGGGGCGGCGACCAGAGCGGCGGUGCGAGGUAGGCAUGUUGGGGGUAGGCUGUGGCUAUGCUCUUUUUUUUUCCAUUGUUUAUUUUCUUAAUUUUAUUUUAAAGGGUAAAAAUUAGGUUAAUGUCCAGUUGUAAAAUAAAGUUUGAGUUGUUAAAAAAUAAAGACACAUGUCAUAUUUUGAGUGGGAAUAUCACCAGCUGACGUGGUGAUACGGUACUACUCUAUAAUUUCUCCCAAUCUAGACCCGAGGGACAGUUUUAAUUUUAUAUGAUUAUUUAUAAUUCCAACAGCUAUAUUUUAUAAUUAUCUUUUUGUUUUGCUUUCUCUUUUCGUUAUAUUUUCUUCUUUUUAUUUAUAAUUAUUGUUUAUCUUUAUUAAUGAUUGUCGUUUAUUUUUUCAAAUUCAAUGAUAAAUCACAUAAUUCAGGUCCUUUAGAAAACUACUUUCAGGUCCUUUUCACUAAUAACCAAAAUAAAUACAACCAAAUUAAUAAAUGGCUUGGCAUGAGGAGUUUAUGGCAUGGGAGCUAAGCUUUCACAAGUUUAGCAAUUUAAGAAAGAGAAAGCAUGAGUUUCUUGCAUAAUACAAAGAUCAAAAUGGGGCAGAAGAAAAUUAGGAGGAUUCCUAUCUUAGGGAAAGAAGAAAACAGCGAGAGAAGAAGAUUGGGUGGCUUGAGUAAAUUCUCAGUUGCUUGACAAAGCUUGGUCAGGCUCUGGAUGAUGAUUUUGCUGGGUAAUGAGCCCUUUGUGGUUCCAAGGGUUUGACGCAGCUGGACCUCCUCAUGAAGGUGAGGCGCACUUGCUUUCCUUCUUGGUUUUCAAAACGGAGCUAACAGAGGAAAAGAAAACAGGUAUAGUCUUUUGCCCGGUGGGUACUUUCCUUACAUACAUGGAUUUCCUUUGGUUCCUGCUAUGGCUUCCCAUUGACUGUCUUGAAGCUUUGACAAAGAUGGAGCACGAUGUCAGAUUUUUAUAAGGCGUUGGGCUGGGCUUGUGUGUACAGUGUUGGGUUAUUAACGUAUUAUCUCCAGCAUCUAAUGGGUUUUCAUCAAGCUGCCGGAAAUAGCUUACUUAUCUUAGGCAUUUUUACUGAUGUAGGUUUAUCUAAGUGUCAUAAUAGGUUACUAGAUGUCCUCCUAAGGCAUUGGACCAUUCUUUUCUCCUUCUUUCAUGCUAACCCAUGUAUUUGGGCCUGAAGAAUGGGCCUGAGUUUUAAUACUCCCAAGUAGCUUAAAACUUUCAUUCCUCGAACCCUCAAUGGGCCCUGUGAUUGCUUGUUUCCUUCCAUACCACAACAUUCUCAGCAAGCCCCGGGUAAUUUUGUGGCUUGGACUCACUUAAGCUUGUGGCACAGCUUGGUAUUAGAAUAGUGGUCCUUUGCACGGCAUUUAUUUAACAUGCUUGCAUUUGAGUUUUUAUCAUGCCGUGAUAGGCUAUAAUUGGGCCAAGUAACACUGGAUGGGUAGAUGAGCAUGAUUUUGUGGAGCCGGUAUGCUCUUGACCCCUUUUGUGCAUGCUUGCUUGGUAUGACACGUGAAUUGUGGCUUGCAUUGAUGCGUCCUUCAAAUUCUCUUUUGUUCCGAUCGGGCUCCUUUUGCAUUCAAUCUCUCUGUGUUAGGCCAGAAAUUGAUCUGGGCCUAGCUCCUUGAAUUUCUAGGCCUCAACAAAUGCAAAUCCUUUGUGACUAAAAACAAUUCUGCACUAAAAUUUUUGAAAAAUAAUAUCGAUGCCUUUAUCAACAAAAUGGCCUAAUUCACAGAAUUUAGGUAAAUUUUAAACAAAAAUUGAUUAAAAAAACCAGAGAAAUGCCAUCAUAUUUUAAUCCCCACUAGAUACAUGCACAUAAGACGCGCUUAGGAUAUUCAUUCGGAUAUAAAAUCAAUAGGAUCCAAAAUUUGGUGUUUAUCAGAUUUAGGAUGAUAAGCUAAAUUUGAUAGUCUCAAUACGACUUGAAUUGAAUUCGGUAAUCUUAUUAUAAUUCACAUUGUUUGUUAACUUGUAAUAUAAUCACCUUAAAUCACUCAAACUCACUAUGCAACACAUUUCAUUCAAUUCUUUUGUGUCAAAAUAAUUGACUACUUGAACAUCUUUUAAAAGUUUCAUUACGUCAAUGGGGUAUAACUCAGUUGACUAAGCUCUUCCACCUCCACUCAUGUAGGCAAAAGUUCGAGACACUCAGGCACCUAAUGAAUAUUUGUGUAAACCACCCCCCCAAUCACUUGUACUAUAUAAAAAAAUUCAUUACAAAUUUUCAUGUUUUUCUUAUCAUUUCCAUUAUUUUUAAAAAAAAAAUCUAGUUUUUAUCAAUAUCGAAAAUUUUUCACGUAUAUAUAUUUCCAAAUUUUUAGACCACAAAUAUUUUUGAAACCAUCGAUAUUUAGUACCUUACUUCUUACCAAAAAACUUUCUGUAAGGAUUGUAUUUUGACAUGUUUGUUGUUUGGCUCUUCUCUUGUAUUUCACAAAACCAUUGUAUUAAUUCUUGUUAUAGACUAGAGGUUGUGUCUGAAAUAGAUUGAAGAUAAAUUCGAGUCCUCACGUUGCUGCCAAAGGUAAAUCUCACAUGCAUUCUCACUGGAUUAAUACAUGUUCACGUGUAUUAAUCCAACAUUCAUUCUUACGUGUUUGCUGCAACAUUUCUCUUUAUUUCAGCUUUGACAGACUUUCUUAAAACUCUGUCUACAAAAGGAAUAAUUCUAUCUUUGGUGGUGGUGUCUUGAGCCGCUCCCAUGCUAAAAGUCUGGAGCUUGAAAAAACAGUGUGAUUUUCAAAAGCUCUAUAUAUAUAUUCUUCUAGACAGAGUUGCAAAAACAACUUUUUGACUCAUGCAUUUUUAAUAGAUGACUUAUGCCUUCUUUCUAGAUAUACUCUGGACAUGAAAACCGAGAGGGAAUAAAACUCUGAAAAGAGUUUGCCUUCAGCCAAAGUUCAUAUCCUGAGGGUUAUGAGAAUGAUUGCAUUCACAUAAAUGCUUCCCCAAGAUGACUUUAAAGCUUUAAUGGCUGGCUGUUUUUUCUUCACUUCAAUCUUCUUUAAUGUUUCAGCUAGUAUAUGUUACUUGAGAGUAUACGAUUGAUAGUAUACAUAUAACCUUCUCCGUGUAUACAUUUACAAGAUUGCGGCUGCAAACCUUUUCUUUGUUGUUGUUAUGUUGAAUUAAACUACAUGCUUCAAGUACUUUACUUCUAGUUUAUUCUUCACGACACUUAGGUUUCAUUUGUCUAGCUCAAUUAUUCUCUGUGAUUGAGAUAGAUGAAUCUUGAAAUCAUGACUCACCUCAUACAUCAAAAUUACAUACAACUAGAGCUUGGUGCUCUUGAGAGGAUUUGCUGCUACGAGAUAAAGAAAAGGUGCUUGUUGAAAGGUUGAUUGAAGCUGCCUAUAGGUGAUAGAUUGAGCUAAGUCUUCUUUCAUUUUUCUUGUAUUUCUUAAUGAGUGGAUUGGAUCUCUCCUGAUUUGGUGCUCCCAGUUUUUCACCUACUUGGGUUUUCUGGGUCAACAACUCCUGUGUGUCGUUUACUUUCAGCUGUUAAUUGUCUUCCCUUAUUAAUCACAUAAUUGUUUGUAUGUGUAUGUGUACGACUUAACAGAACUUUUUAAAAUUGGUAGGUCUUUGACCGGUAGCCUACUUCACCCCCCUUUGUAGGCUCUUAGAGCUUAGGGUUUGGUUUUACACGUUCCUUAUUUAUUGUAAAAUUAAUGAGACUAACUAUUUAUAACAAAAGCCAUAAUUUCACUCAUAAUAAGCAUCAAUAUACAUUACAGAUGCGAAGUAUUUUCCUGUCAUCUUCAUAGUGGAUGUGAAGUCAAAGGAAAUAAGAAAAUGGUCAAAAGGAAACACCGACAAACCACAAAAUGAAAAAGAAAAAAGAAGCAUCAAUACACUUUCGUUGCAACAUUGGUGUUUACCAAGUAGUUGGGGUGUGGAAAAAAAAGAAGACAAAAGGUCGAUUGUUGAUGAAGUUGACUGAAAUAGAUCAGGAUUUUCAAAAUUAACCUCCAUAAUUGUUAGAAGACAAAAUUUUGUUAUUGGCGAGUCAAUUAAUUCAUAAAAUUGAGCUUUCACAUUGGUGAAAAGUUGAAGGUUUUUCAUCUUUGAGAAGCUGUCAUCACUCAAGCAUAUGUCAUCUGGUGUCGGAAACUUUGCUAUGAUGCCUUUAAUAUUGUUUGUUUCCUAUUAUUAAAAAAAAAAAGAAGUUGUUUUAACAUACAAAGCUUUAUAGCAAAUAAAAAUGCAAGUGUACACACACACAGAGACUUACUGUUCCUUCUGUUAGAACACGAUAAACAUUCUCGUGAAAUCACAAUCUGCUACGUUCACUAGGCUCAUUUGGCGACUCUUGAUAAACUAUUCUUCUACCCAAUUCUUCAAGCAAGUCAUGCAUCCCAAUUGUGCCUUGUUCAAUAUUUAUGAGGGCCUUGUCUACGAGUACUUUAAUAGCAUACUUAGGCUUGAGGUCACAACCUUCCAGGAUCGGUAUCAUAUGGUUCACCUUUCUACCGUUAAAGAAACAUGCUAUGUCAAGGAAAACUUCUUGCACUGAAUAUUCCAAUGCAUCAUAGCUUAUUUUGAGAGUUUUUUUAAUGUCCGAGUGCAGAUUCCCAUCCAAUGCAUCAUGCCACUCAUCUAUACUUCUACCACAUAGAUGAGAACCUAAAACCUUGAGAGCUAAAGGAAGACCUUGAGCAUGCUUCAGCACACAUUCUGCAAGUUCCACAUAAUCAUCAUCCAAAUUUCUAUUUCUUGUAAAACCAUUCCAACUAAAGAAGAGAUCAAGAGAUUCAUGAUAAUUUAAUUUCUUUGCCUCGUAGAUUAUACUAACUCAAUGAGAAGUUAGCAAAUGCUUAUCUCUUGUCGUUAUGAUAAUUCUACUGCCCAAACCAAACCAAUCACAACCUCCAACUAAGUUGUUUAAUUGGUCCAAAUGAUCCACAUCAUCUACAAUUACAAGGACCUUUUUACCACUCAACCUUUCCUUUAUCACACUGAUUCCUUUAUCGGCACUGGUAACCUUUAUUUCCUUUCCCCUUGGAAUCUCAUAAAGAAGAAGAUUUUGUAGGUCGACUAGGCCUCCAUAUGGUAUUGAUCUUUCUCUUACAUUUUCCAGAAAACAACUCCUUUCAAACACUUGGGCCAGUGAGUUAUAAACAGCUUUAGCAACAGUUGUCUUUCCUAUUCCACCAGUCCCCCAUAUUCCUACCAUGCAAACGUCAUUUCCGUAAACAUCUAAAACUUUAUGAAGAUCUCGUACACUAGCCUCUAUUCCAACUUGGUAUUUUGCCACAUUGAUAUGGAUAUCAUUUAAUACUUGUAAGGAAAUCUCGUUGACAAUGUUCUGAAUAAAUUCAGUUUCACGGCUGCCAAUUUGAAGCACAAACAACAUUUAAAUAAAAUGGGAUUUUUCUAUAUAUAUUUUAAAGAAGUGCUCGACUCAAUACUAGUGUCAAUUAUGUCGUGAAUCUAUAUAUAUAAAGCAAAAAGCAGAGAAUGGUGAAACAUUCAAAAUACCAUAAAUGUCAUUGAUUAAUGCAAACAUUAAGAAUUGAAAUUAUUAAUUAAAUGAGGAUAAUAUGGUAAAUUCACACUUUUUCAUAUUAAAAAUAAAUUAAAAUUAAAAGAAAAAAAAUUAGAAAACACGUGACCAAGCUAUGAUGUUAGGGAAAGCGUGUGAUGGAAUGGACACUAGGAUAACAAUAGAAGAGAUUGGUUUUCGUAACAGAGUGAUUUUAUUAGAAAGGAGAGAAGUACACUGCUUGGUAGCUAUUAUAGAUAUUUGAUACUAUUAUCUUCAAUAUUUGAUAGCUAUUAUAGCAUUUUCGGAUCCUAAAUUACUCUAGAAAUUUCUACCAAAUGUCCAUCAUAUUUUAACAGUUACAAUAACAGAUUCUGCAACCCUGGGAGAAAUAAUGUAGCUAUUGGUUGGCUAAUUAGCCUUUCAGUGAUGUAACUAUUUGCUGCAAUUUAUAUUACUGUUGUAUUGAUUCAAUUAUAUUUAUAUAAAAUAUAUUCGUUGGUUUUUAUUAUUUUGUUAUUUUGGUUUUAUACUGAUUGUUUUACAACAACUAGUACAUCAGUCGUUAAACACCUUGCAAUUACAUAAAAAUUUGAAUGCAAACCCUUUGUGUCUUGAAACAAUUCUGCACUAAAUUUUUUGAAAAAUAAUGUUGAUUCCUUUAUCGACAAAAUGACUAAUUCACAAAAUUUAGGUAAAUUUUAAACAAAAGUUGAUUAAAAAAGACAAGAGAAAUGCCAUCAUUUUAAUCCCCACUAGAUACACGCACAUAGUGGAUGUGAAGUAGUUUCCUGCCAUCUUCAUAGUGGAUGUGAAGUCAAAGGGAAUAAGAAAAUUGUCAAAAGGAAACACCGACAAACCACAAAAAGAAAAAGACAAAAGAAGCAUCAAUACACUGUCAUUGCAACAUGGGUGUUUACCAAGUAGUUGGGGGUGUGGAGAAAAAAAACAAAAACAAAAGGUCGAUUGAUGAUGAAAGAUAACUAAAAUAGAUCAGGAUUGUAAAAAAUAACCUCCAUAAUUGUUACAAGACAAAAUUUUGUUAUUGGCGAGUUAGUUAAUUCACAACGCGUCAUGCUAACUAUUAGAUAGAAAAGUAUUCAUACGUGAGUUUAAUAUAUUAUCGUCUUUCUCAAUAAGAAAUGUGAAACAUUCAAAAUACCAAAAAAUAUCCUUGGUUAAUGCAAACAUUAAGAAUUGAAAUUAUUAAUUAAAUAAGAAUAAUAUGGUAAAUUCAUACUUUUUUAUAUUAAAAAAAUUAAAAUGAAAAGAAAAAUCAGAUAAUGAAUCUUAUUUUUAUGAGACACAACUACUCAUCAUCUUUUUAAUUCUAAAAUAAUUUUUUUUUCUUCAAAAAGCCUCUCACAAGCGCAAAAGCUCGUGCGGAGAUGCUAGUUAUAAAUAAAUAAAAACUAGUGUAUUUUGUUUUUGUUUGUUUGUUAAAAAAUAAUAUAUGGUUUAAUGGGUUGUCCUGUUAAGGGAAAGCUUAGAGGCAAUAAUUUAAACUUUUGGAAAAACAAUAAUCCCAAAUGUACGAACCAUUCAUCCGCUAAUAGCUUGCGAAAAUAUAAUUAAAAUGGGAAAACAAAAAACAAAUACACUAGUAAUAAGUUUAUGUAUCCACUAAAACUUAAUUACAUGGAGGCAAUCCAAUGGAUCACUAAUGAUUUUUUCAUCAAAACAACCUAGUUAUAUAUAAUUACCGAAAAAACUAAUGACUCAUUUUUCAUGGCCAGAGAAGCGAGCAAAGGUCCUUCAACAAAUAAAACAUGUGUACAAGGUGUCACCAAGGCACAAAACGGUCCAUAAGCAAACGAACUUUGGCAUCUGAAAGCGUAGAGGAAUCCAAGUCCCUCUGAAUCUGAGCCAUUCUGCUGCUCUCUAUUCUUGCUUCUUUGAACACUACUUGUUCUUUAACCUCAUCAUCACCUUCUCCUUGUUUGGCCUUCGAUGAAAACACCAUUCGCUUCUUAGCCCCCACCUUGUCUUUCAGCUUUGCCAACUCGCUCAUCCAAACCUCCACCACUGCAGACAUGCUUGAACUUGAAAACUUGAAAUUCUGGCUUGGUCUUGACUGUUGAGUUUGAUCAAGGAUGAUGAGGAGGGCUGGCUAUUAUGGUUGUUGGGUUAUAUAGAAGAGAGAGAGAGAGAAAGAGAAAGAGGGCCUUGCCCUUCAUGUGGUUUGGAUUGGAUGAAAAACCAGUGUGUCACAGACAGCCGCUGGUUAUAGGCUCGCACACAGGAAUAUUCCUUGGGAAGAGAGAGAGAGAGAGAGAGAGAGAGACUAGAAAGUGGGGUAUGAGUUUUGUUGAGUGAGUGAAAAGCUUCCCCGUGGGUGGGCGCACGGAACUCUCUUCUUUAGAUUAAUCUUGUGGGCGACUUAGCAUAUUACUAUUCAUAAUAAUAUUCCAUUGCAUCUUAGUUUUCCUUGUGUCUUAUUCCAACAUUGCAAUUCUCUUUCUCCGAAAUACCCAUUCACCUCUUCAUCAUCAGUAAAAGUAGCCAUCUUCAUUAUCUUCACAGCUGAAGUAGUCAUGUUCCGAGUCUUGCUCAUCUUCACAUAGAUCAAUACAAUUAUCUCCAUCAAACCUCUCAUUAGCAUCUUCCAAGUCAUCGGAUUCAGACUCACCAUCUUCCGUAAAUAUAGACAAGUCUUCAUCAUCCUGUGUCAUUACCAGGUGGACCCCGAAGCUUUUUAAACACAGCGAAUCUAGUGUCAAAUUCAGAAAAUUAACUCGACACGCAAAAGGCGACCGCGGCCAGGUAAUCUGAUCAUCCCGGUAAAACAUUUCGCUGAAUCGAAUAUAGCACAGCCACACAUGACCUGACCCUAUACCAUGACCUGACCCGUUCUUUCUGAAAUCGGACGCAGUAAAAUAAGGUUCCACUCCUGGUUGAUUCACGGAAAUUUUUGUUACAAAACCAUUGUAACGUGGUCUUUUGUUUUGCGGGUUUUCACCAGCAGCGUAUAGAGCCAAUCCUUGGUUCUGGCAUUUGAAGUUUGGAGGGAUUUCAAUCAAAAAUUCACAUGCUUCAUCACGCUCCUUCACAUACUUAUGACAGCUGAACAACGUCGAGAGAGCUUCAAAACUUGCUGGAAAUACAACCUGAAAUCCAUGUUUCUGCGAAGACAGAAGGUGAUCAAAGAAGAUAGUGAUCUGCUCCUUUGCUAAAAUGUUUUGCUUCUUUCUGAGGUCACAAGCCAGAUUGCCGCAGAGUCUGUGGCAAUUACACAAGUCCACCAACUUAAUCAUUUGUGAGUCUUCUUUACCCUUCAGAAUGUUGGACAAUGAUGAAAACCUUUCCAAUGAUACGCAAUCACUUGCAUCUAACUUUACUAUUUUUGGUGGAAGUUCCGGAAUAUCUCUAAGCCUCUUGCAGCCAUGCAAGUAAAGAUACCGCAUAUUGACAAAUUUCGUAAUGCAUUUGGGAAUACUUACAAGGAAAUCACAUAGUGUUAGAUCAAGUUCGCUCAAUGUAGACACAUAAUCUUCAGACUUCACUUUAUUUGGAAAUGUAACAAGCUUUCGACUUCUUCGGAGACAAAUGCGGUUUAAAUGUUCCAACUCAUAAAUGCUGGGUGGCAGAUUCGUAAGAUUUUCACAACUGCUUAGGUGUAAUAACUCAAGAUUGAUGAGAUAUACAAUUGACGCUGGCAAUUCUUUGAUGCCACUACCAUGUAGAAACAUGUAACGUAAGGAAUCCAUCUUUCCCCCAAUAUCAGGGAAAGUCUCCAGUCUUCUGCAAAAUUGAAGAUUGAGAACUUCUAGAGAUUUUGACUUGAUUAUUGGAAAUAGUGUGAGGUUAUGGCAACACAUAAGACUCAAGUCCACAAGCUUAUCAUGAAAUCCAACAGAAGGAUGAACCUCAACUAAACUUCUGCAGUAGUCUAGAUUCAAGGACUGUAAGUUUGGAAUUCCAGAGAUAUUUGGGGUUUUUGUUAGGAGUUCACAGCUCCUAAAAUUCAUGGACGUCAAAUUUUGCAAACGCUAUAUAAGACAAAAAUAGAAAAGAAAAAGAAGGAUCAAACGAUAAGGCAUAAACAAGUUUAAGCCAUAACUCCAGAAACUUAAUAAACUUUUGAAAAUACGAAGGGAUGAAAAUAAUUUAAAUUACCUUGAAUCCCUCCCCAAGUUGUGACAAGCGGCUACAAGGCAUAUAAAGUUCAACAAGUUUCCUUGGAUUGAAAGUAGAUGGUAAAGUUUGUAGAGGACAACCAGGCCAAUGAAGAAACCUCAACUCAUUAGAUAGAUAAUCCACGUGAUCGCCAUAAAAUCGUGCAUUCACAUUGAUGAAAAGUCGAAGGUUUUUCAUCUUUGAGAAGCUGUCAUCACUCAAGCAUAUGUCAUCUGGUGUCGGAAACUUUGCUAUGAUGCCUUUAAUAUUGUUUGUUCCCUAUUAUUAUAAUUUUUUAAAAAGUAGUGUUAACAUACAAAUUUCAAUAGCAAAUAAAAAUGCAAGUGUACACACACACACACUUACUGUUCCUUCUGUUAGAACACGCACUACUACAAAAAAGCAAAAAGACGACGGUAAAUCACCGUCGUGUAUUCGGUUUUUCAAUGGUCGUGGAAUCCACCGUCAUCUUUUCCCUCAUAAACCACGACGCUAAAUCACCGUCGUUGUUAAAAUAUACAACGUCAUCAACAAAUACAAAACGACGUCUUUGUACUGCAAAAAGAUCUAAAAAAGCAGUCGAGGAUGAGAAUAGACGACCAACUCUCUAAAAAAACCGUCGUUAAAAAGGAAAAAUAUGACACAUAUUAAGAUAACAAGGCCGCAAGAUAGACAUACAAUGACGAAAAUAAAAAUACCACGCCGUUAAAUAUCAUUUUCACGACAAUAAAAAAUUUGACGUCUUUAAAUACAUUAGAAGACGACGUUAUUGAUACCUACUACGUCGCAUAUAUAAAAACAGCCGUCGUAAAAUUAAUUUUCCACUUCGAUUUUUCGAUAAAAGAUGACGUGGAAAUAGUUGUCAGUGUCAUUAUUUACGACGUAUGUAUUUAUAGAGUAGACGUUGAAAAACGAAACAACGUCAGUUACAAAUAUAUGAGAGUCGUAUUACAAAAUUUAUACGUCAUAUUUUCAGAAACAAACAACGACGAUAAAUAUUCAACGUUGUUAAAUAAACCAACGUCGGAAAACAAUAAAAACAGACGUGUUUAGUCUGCUAAAGUUCUAGAAAAUAGUCGAGGAUGAGAAUAGACGACCAACUCAAACAAAUCACCGUCGUUAAAAAGGAAAAAUAUGACACAUGUUAAAAGAACAAGGCCGCAAGAUAUACAUACAACGACGAAAACUAAAAUACUACGCUGUUAAAUAUAAUUUACACGACAAGAAAAAAUAUGACGUCUUUAAAUACAUGAGAAGACGACGUUAUUGAAAUAUACUACAUCUCUUAUUUACAAACAACCGUCGUGAAAUAAAUUUUCCACUUCGAUUUUUCUAAAAAAGAUGACGUGGAAAUAGUUGUCAGUGUCAUUAUUUACGACGUAUGUAUUUAUACAGUUGACGUUGAAAUGCGAAACAACGUCGGUGGCAUUUAUAUAGUCGACGUUGUAUUUAUAUCUAUCAUCAUUACUCACGACGCACUUAAUAAUAUAGACGACGUUGAACUUCUAAACAACGUCGGUUCCAAAUAAAUGAGAGCCGUAUUACAGAACAUAUAGACGGCGUUGAUUAUGAUGAGAGCCGUAUUACAAAUAACGUCGUUUAAUUGUUAUUAGACGGCGGUUAUAAUGAAUUUCCGUCGGAAUUCAUUUCGUUCCUCUUCGUUUAUAAAAGAACUUGCGACGUGGAAAAUGUAUGAUGACGUCGUAUUUUUUAACGUUCAGAUUAUAUAUCUCGUUUUUUAGACGUCGGUAUUAUGGGAUUGGAGUCGUGUUAUUUUGAAUUACAUGGCGGUUCUUAAUCCUUCCCCGACGUGAUAUCCUGAAUAAUUGCUUCACAAUAGCGUCGUGGUUCUUCAUUGUUACGUUGCUUUAAGACGUCGGUAAAUAUGCUGAAUAACUGGUUCACAAUAACGUCGUGUUUUAUUUGAACGUAGAAAGUGAAGAAAUCACAUUACAAUAUAUUACAAAAUUAAUGUCAUACACUGCCAAUUACAUAAGCAUCAUUCAAUCCAUAUAUCUUCACACCCAUCUCGAAUAUUUUGACCGCCUAACUCACCCACCAGUUCAUCAAAUGUGUCAACAUUUGGCAUCCCUCUAGUAAAUGGCUCACACUCAAUUAUCACAUCACCUAAGACUUCAUCACCAAUAACAUCAUUAUAUUCUCUAUUAGGCAUUGAUAACACUACCGACCAACUAUGAUGCAUCGGGUCGUCAACAAAAAAUAUUUGUUUGACUUGAGAAGCCAAAACAAAUUGGUCAUUCCUAUGUCCAAUUUUACUCAAAUCUACAAGGGUAAAUCCAAGUUCGUCGACUACAAGACCAGAACUAUCUAUCCAAUCACACCUAAAGACUGGGAUUGUAAACUUUUGGUAGUCAAGGUCCCAAAUUUCUUGAAUGACACCAUAGAAACCCAUAUUUGAGAGAAUUGGGUUUUUAUCCUUGGCACUAGCAACUUGCAUGGUAUGUGCAAGUAAAUAAACUCCACUAUUUUGAGUUGUCCGCACAUCAUCUUGUGCCUUGAUAUUGAAUUUAAUACCUUUAAUAAGAUAGCUCCUAUAUAAUGGCACUGACAUGUUUGGACCAGCUGCUAGCCACCUUAAAUUUUCUGAUACGCCGUGAUUGUCUUCCUCAAGUUCACUUUGAACCUGCAAAUUAAUCAUAUCUUAAUUCAAUCUAACAUAUAAAUAAGAAGAAAAUUAAAAGAGAAAUAUGUUAUUCAACAACAUAUACCUUGAAGCGUAGCCAUUGAAUGAAAGUGCUAUUGUGCUUAUCCUGCAGCCACUUUGUUCUCUUUCUAAAUUUUGGAUAAGCAAUCUUGAUGUGGAUCAUAUGUUGCCUACAUGACACGAAAAAUUCAAGCAUUACGGUCCCAAAUAUAGAAGAUAAACAUAAGAAAUAAUUUAAAAUGGAAACUUAAAGAAUAAAGCUCAUACGUACUCGAUAUAAGGUAGGACUUCCUCCGUAUUCUCCAAGACAUAUAGAUGUGCUUGAUUCAAUAGGUCCUGAUCAACUACGCUCACUGUGCAACCUGAUAAUGGCUUUGAAAGUCCCAUCUUUUGGCUUGAAGGCACUCCAACUGUACUAACAUCAGAUAAAUGCUGAGUACAAAACUCUACCGCUUCUUCAGCUAUAUACCGCUCAGCAAUGCAACCUUCGGGACGAGUACGAUUCUGAACAUACCCCUUCAGCACUUUCAUAUAUCUUUCAAACGGAUACAUCCACCUAAAAUAUACUGGCCCACAUAGACGAACUUCUCUGACAAGAUGUACUACUAGAUGAACCAUGAUAUCAAAGAAUGAAGGGGGAAAGUACUUCUCAAGCAAACACAGAGUAACUACUACAUCUUCUUCCAACUUAUCUAGCUUGGAAACAUCAACAGUCUUUGCACAUAUAGCAUUGAAGAAGAAGCACAAACGAGUUAUUGCAUACCUUGCAGGCUUCUCCAAAACAGAACGAAUUGCCACAGGGAGCAAUUGUUGCAUUAAGGUAUGACAAUCAUGUGAUUUAAGGCCAAGAAGUCUUGAAUCUUGUAAAGAUACAAGAUUUUUAAUAUUUGAAGAAUAACCUUCAGGGACCUUCAUACCAUAGAAAGAAUUGCAAACCUCUCUCUUCUCUGCUCUUGACAAAUUCCAAGGCCCAGGAGGCAAACGAGUACGUCUUUCUCCAUACUCGGGUUGCAAAUCAGUUUUGACCCCCAUGUUCAAUAAAUCUAAUCGAGCAGCAAUCCCAUCUUUAUUUUUUCCAGGGAUCUCCAGCAAUGUACCAAUGAUACUAUCGCAAACAUUCUUCUCAAUGUGCAUAACAUCUAGGGCAUGCCUCACAGGAAGGUAUUUCCAAUACUCGAGAUCAAAGAAUAUUGAUUUCUUCUUCCAACAAACUCUGUCACCAUUUUCAACCAUAUGCAGCACUUCUUCUCCGGUUAAUGGCUCGGGAGGUAUGCCAUAUUCAGGUUUCCCAUUAAAAGCUGCACGUUGCCUCCUAUAUGGAUGAUUGAUUGGUAACCAUUUUCUAUGCCCAAUGUAACAAAUUUUGUGGCCAUUUUUCAACCUGUGACUAGGUGUAUCAUCGCCGCAUAUUGGACAAGCUUUAUAUCCUUUAACAACACAACCAGAUAAGUUUCCAUAGGCGGGGAAAUCAUUAAUUGUCCACAUUAAUGCAGCUCUGAGUGUAAAGUAUUCUCCAUUAUGUGCAUCAUACACUCCUCUAAUCCCAACCCACAAGGAUUUUAAAUCAUCAAUCAAAGGCUCCAAGUAGACGUCUAUAUCAUUUCCGGGUUGUUUAGGACCGGAAAUCAAUAAGGUUAACAUCAUGAACUUUCGUUUCAUGCACAGCCAUGGAGGGAGAUUAUAUGUAACUAAGAUAACCGGCCAACAACUAUAUCUGCUACUUAGAGAACUGUGGGGGAUUGAAUCCAUCAGAUGAAAGAGCCAAUCUCAAGUUUCUCGGCUCAUUACCAAACUCAGGCCAUUUAUCAUCAAGAAGUUUCCAAGACGGGGAAUCCGCCGGAUGAGACAUCUGACCGUCAAUUGAUUUUCUAGCAGCAUGCCACCAAGUCAAACUCUUAGCUGUCUCAUGUGAUUGAAACAUCCUUUUAAACCUUGGAAUUGGGGGAAAAUACCACACCACCUUCGCUGGCACACCCUCUUUCAAGAUUGAAUCUUUGCCUUCCUUCCACCUUGAGAUACCACAAGUAGGACAAUUAGUUGAAUCCUCAUACUCCUUCCUAUACAAGAUGCAAUCAUUGGGGCAUGCGUGCAUUUUCUCAUAACUCAGCCCCAAUGCACACAAAGUCUUUUUAGCCUCAUACAUGGAGGUUGGUAUUGUAUUUCCUUCUGGAAGCAAAUCGCCUUGAAGUAUCAAUAAUUCUGUAAAACAGACAUCACUCAUCCCAUGUUUUGCCUUCAAAUUAUACAACUUCACUAAUGCCGAUAACUUCGUGUACUUUCUACAACCAGGGUACACUGGUUGAUCUCCAUCCCCAAUCACAUUGGCAAACUCAUACGGAUCCGAACCAAAAUCACCAAAAUCAUUAUCAUCCAUAUCAAUUUCUUCAGACACAAAACUGUACCUACUAUGGCCAUCAUCUUCUUCAACAUUUCUGCUAGCAUUAGUAGUUGCUUCCCAAGGUUCUCCGUGAAAUGUCCAAUUCUUAUAGCUUUGGUCAAUUCCAUUAAAGUAUAAGUGAUCCCUUAUAAUUCCAACCCCAAACAACUUCAAAUUAACACAUUUAACACAUGGACAACGGAUAUGUGUUGUAGUUAGAAGAUUUUCUACAGCAAAGUUCAAAAAUGCUUCCACCCCAACUCAUAUGCCUUCGAUCUUCUAUCCGAGUGCAUCCAUGACUUAUCCAUCUCCGACACUAUAACCUAUUAUCUAUAAUAAAGUGAAAAUACAGGCAAUGACCAUCACUAUAGCAGAUUAUACAAUGAUCUAAUCGCAAGUAAUACACAACAGAGACGACGGGUUUUAAACAAAAACAGACGUAUUUGGAAUAUAUAGACGACGGAUUUUCAACAGACGUCGUCUAUUAUAAGUAAUACAAACGACGGUUUAUGAAAAAACUAUCGUGUAUAAGUAAUACAACGACGGUAGUUUAAAAAAACCGUCGUGUAAUCGUCGUCGUAAGCCUUAAAAUUCGUCGUGUCUCAGUUUAUUUUCAAGAACACAAAACCCAUUAAGAACACAACAUAUAUAUGAAACCAAGCAAGAAACCAACAUAUACAUGAAACCAAGCAUGAAAACAAUAAAUCCAUUCCCAAUUCAACAUAACAUAGGGUGAUUAAAAGAUACGACAAAAUUAAAUCCAUUCCCAAUUCAACAUAACAGAUAAUGUAAUCCAUGAACCCAUUAAACAGAAAAUCCAUGAACCCAUACCUAUAAGCACAUUAUUAACAGAUCGCAAAGCAUACACAUAAAACCCUUUAACAAAACAACCUAAUAUAACUCGAAUCGUUACUAGAAUCAUCACUCGAAUCUCCAUCUUCAUUAUCAGUUUCUUCCUUCGUAGGUACUAUUUGCUCCCCAUCAUUGGUGCACUUUGCACCUUCUCCAGAGCGGAAAAUGACAAGAUCAAAUAAAGGUGUACUUUUGCUGGAAAUCAACACAAAAAGACACAGAUCAUCAACUUCCAAAUGAUUGUCACGCACAACGUCCAUCCAACCACGCCUGAAUUGUAUAAGUUUUACAAUGUUGGUUUGAGCAAAGGAAGGCCCAGAUCAGGCGNNNNNNNNNNNNNNNNNNNNNNNNNNNNNNNNNNNNNNNNNNNNNNNNNNNNNNNNNNNNNNNNNNNNNNNNNNNNNNNNNNNNNNNNNNNNNNNNNNNNAGCAUGAAACAAUAAAUCCAUUCCCAAUUCAACAUACAUAGGGUGAUUAAUAGAUACGACAAAAUUAAAUCCAUUCCUGGAUGGACGUUGUGCGUGACAAUCAUUUGGAAGUUGGUGAUCUGUGUCUUUUUGUGUUGAUUUCCAGCAAAAGUACACCUUUAUUUGAUCUUGUCAUGAACCCCUUUAACAAAACAACCUAAUAUCAUUCAAUGAAUUUACAAGGGGAAGAUAGGGUUUGUACUUACAGGUUGGACGAGCUCACAGAUUCGACGGAGCCUGGAGAGUGCAACUUUUAAUUAGAGCAGAAGUGAGAGAGCGAAAUGUUAUGUCGCGCGAAAUCUGAAAAUUUUAGGUUUCAGGGUUCGAAGUAUAAGAAUAAGAGCCAAAUCUAAAAAAAUUUAGGUCGCGCGAAAAUUUUUAGAGCUCGCGCGUUUUAAAACGUCGAAAGAAAAACCAAGGCGAAAGUUCUACAAGUACCGACGUAAAUUUAAUAUUCCACGACGGAAACUUCAUUUUUCGAAUUAAGAACGUAAGGCCGUUCAUUUUGAAGCUUCAUUUUUCGGAUUAAUUUUAAAUUUAUUUUGAAUUUUUUAUAUAACGACGACUGAAAAACCACGUCGGUGUUAAGAAAUUAAAGACGUUGUAAAUCAUAUAAACCGACUUACAUAUUAAAAUGACGUCGUUUAAAGCGUAAACCAUGUCGUAUGUUUUUCUGUACGACGUAAAAUAUGUAUUCCACGACGCAACCACCGUCGUUAAAAAUUAAUACCCUAAACCCAUAAAACUAAAUUAUACAAUUUAAAAAAUUAAGUUUAUAAAAGGUUUUAUGGUUUUAAAGCCUAACAUAUACCCUAGACUACCCAAAAAUUAUACUUUAAAAAUAAACCCCAAUAAAUAACAACCCUAAUCUCUAAACCCUAGACUCUAAACCCUAAACCAUAAAACUAGAAGUGAUUUUAUGACUCAUCAAAACAAUUUUGUUUUGGAUGGUCAUUUUAAAUUUUUGUUAUUCAAAAUGAAUUUUUUCAAGGUUUAUGUGGAAGAAAAUAUAUCAAUGACUUCAUAGGAGUGGACUUUUCAAUUUUCUGAUUUAUUUUAAAUUUAUUUUGAAUAUUUUGAUAUAAAAAUAAUAAAAUAUUCUUACCACAACAACAAACCACGUCGGUGUUAAUAAAUUGUAGACGUUGUAAAUUGUAAUAAACUACUAAGUCGUUAAAAUGAGUCGUUAAAAUGAGAAACCAUGGCAGCUAUUUAACUAUACGACGUAAAAUAUAUAUUCCACGACUUAACCGCUGUCGUUACAUAAACGAUAAACGACUAUUAGGGUUGUAAACCAUAAACGACUCAAUUGUUCAAAGAACGUCGUCUAACUAUAUUUUUACGUCGUAUUUGUUUAAAACACGAAACAACAAAAUACGACGGUUUUUGACUUUAUUAGGUCGUUGGAAAAGUAUUACACGUCGGUUAAGCAAUUUGUAUGUUUGUUUUUUUUUUAAUUUAAGAAAACCUCAACAAAUUUUUACAUUACAUAUUAUAGAGAAAAUUUGUACAUUAUACAUAAAUAUCAAGUGUUCAAUAAUUGCCCUGUUUAAUAAUUUGGAAAACAAACUCUGCCCAUUCAUUCCGGACUUCAUCAAUGGCUUCUUGGGGGUAUGAAGCUUCCUGGUUUCCCUUGGCAUACUGCAUAAACAAUGACUAUUAGGGUUUAUAAAUAAAAAGAAAUUCAAUCACAGACAACGAUAUUUUUCAUAACCGACGUAGUAUAUCCAUUCAACGACGUUAAUUUUACAUGACCGUCGUUGAUAAUACAAAAAACGACGUGAAAUGUAUGAAGGUAAUUUCUUCUUACCUUAUUCUCAAACCCCAAGGAAGGAUCCAUGAUGAUGUCCCUCAUGAAGCGCAUCACAUAAUACCCGCAUUCGACAUUGCUGGGUUGCUUUGGUGUGCCUGAGAGAGUUUUCCAAAUUACAUUUUUACGUCCUGCUCGGCCUAUGUGGGUAUUAUAUAUUUUUAAAGCACUGUUCACGAUGUUUUUCGCCUCUUCGUCGACCACACGAUGACCUGGCAGAGGAUCCAGAAAAUAGACGGUCUCCUUCUUUGCUCUUACAAUCAGCAAGAUCCAAUGACGGCUGCACAAAAUUAAUAUAAAAACGACGGUUAUUUACAAAAACGACGUAUUAUAGUAUUUCACACGACGAAAUAAAGUAGAUAACGACGACAUUAUAUAUUUAUCACGACGAUAAAUAAAUACCGACGUGGUUAGUAGUUUCAAACGACUAAAUAAAAUAAAACACCGACGUGGUUAGUUUAUAUGCUGUCAUUUAUUGAAAAUCAUAAAAACAAAAUCCUAAGGAGACUAACCCUGGAUUGUAAGGCAUCAUGAAAAUCUGUUCACCGUCUGUCUUCUGAAGUCGAGCUGCUACCAGUCGUGAUCUUUCAGUUAUUGUGCCAGAGUUGGCACUAACUGUAGCAGGGUCGAUAAAGCCAACCAUGCUGCACAUAUUGGCUUGUUUCAAAACAUCGUGUAAGUACCUAAAUACAUAAAAUAAUAUAAACAAGUCAGCACAAACAAACACGACGGUUAUGUAUAAAAAAACGACGUAUUAUAAUAUUUCACACGACGUACUGAAAUAGAUGAGGACGUUAUAAUAUAUUUAUCACGACGGUAGUUAGUUAAGACGACGUGGUUAGUUAGUUAAGACGACGCAAUAUAUAAACCAACGAGGUAUUAUUUUAGAAGUACAAACCUCAUAUAUACAGCCAAUACAGUAGCUCCAAUUUCUUCCAUGCCUGCAAAUUGUGUAAUAUCUUCAGGCAGGAGGAAGGUAUCGCGCUCACCACCAAACACCUCAUUAUCAAUUGUAAAUUAGAGUGUCUUAUCCUCAGGCAGGAGUGUCGUUUCCACAAAACGACAAAGGGUUUUUAAAGAAGAUGGCGCCUCCAUAUUUGAAUAAGCACCAACUUCAAUAACCUGUUUAAAGAAAUAAAAAAAAUGACGUGGUAAUUCAAUAAAGACGACGGUUUAAGGAAUAAAACGUCGUCUUAAAAGUAUUUAAACGACGGUGAAAAAACUGUCGUGGUAAUUCAAUAAAGACGACGGUUUUAUGAAUAAAGCAUCGUCUGAAACCAUUUAAACGACGGUGCAAAAACCGUCGUUUAAAUAUUUUAUUACGUCUUAAAAAAAGUCCGCCGUCUAAGUUUUAAACAAACGACGGAUUAAAUAAAAAUAUCGACGUCUGAAAUUUUGAAAAACAAAUAAAAAAGGCAAAGUUAUGUGAACAUACCUUGUCGUCAUGCUUUUCUUCAUCUUCUUUCUCCUUUUCUUCUUCCUUCUCUUCAUCUCUUUUUUCUUCUUCCUUCUCUUCAUCUGGCUGAUGUUUCCCCAUUUUGGCAGUAUCAUCCUCCAAAUGUAGGGAUCUCACAUCACCUCCAGAGCAGCUAGCUUUGUCAGACAUUGGAUUUUUGGGGCUUUGGCUAAUUCUUGGUUUAAGCAUGCUUGGAUCAAAAUUGGGAAUUAAUUGGGAAAGCUGACUCAGGAAAUGCUCCCUCUCAGCCUCUACCAAUUGUUUUGUCCUAGCCUCCAUCCUUAAGGCCUCUUCCCUUGCCUUAGCCUCCAUCUUUUUAGUCUCUUCUUGAAGGAGAACUCUUAAACUGUCCUUCAAACGGUCGUCAAAGCUCACCCUCUGUGGUUUAGGCAAAUUGAAAUAUUGCCUUGGGGGAAACACCAGCACCAACUCCCUUCACUCUGCCAGGAUGCUCGGGGCCCAAAGCCAUGGUCAGCACAUCAUUGCUGCCAUCUACUCUGACUUUGCCUUCCGAGACUUGUUUCUGAAAUUCAUCCUAAAAAAAGAUAAACAAAAAAACACACGACGGUUAUUUAUGUACAAACGACGUAUUAUAUAAUUUCACACGACGCAAUAACGUAUAAACCGACGUUAUUAUAACUUAUCACGACGGUAGUUAUACCGACGUGGUUAUUUAUUUAAAACGACGAAAUGAAUAAACUACCGACGUCUUAUGCUAUAAUUAAAGAAAACAGAGUAGUGAUUCCUAUUUAGACCGUUAACGACGUUUUUAAAAAAGUUUCGACGUGGUAAUAUCAUUCAAACGACGCCAAAAUGAACCACCGACGUCUUAUGCUAUAAUUACAGAAAACAUAGUAGUGAUUCCUAUUUAGACCUUUAACGACGUUUUUAAAAACUUCUCGACGUGGUAAUAUCAUUCACACGACAGAAAAUAUAACAUACGACGUAAUAAGAAUAAUUCACAGUUUAAUAAAAAUUUAAAACAGAGUGAUAGUAGGCUUACAAUUAAUUUUGCUUUCUCUGCCACCUUUGGAUCAGGGAUGUUACCAUGUUUGUCCUGUCUAGCUCUCUUCCAUAAGGUAGAUCGAUCAAUUUCUACCCAGGCAUGGUUUCCUCCAAUUGAUCCUCCAAUCCAGCAUAUCCUUUUCGAGACAAUCGAUGAUUGUACUCGAGUUUCUCCCUAAUCUGUGCAUGUUGAGAAUGCACAGACUCAAAAUCUUUGGAUAGCCUUGAAGCUACAAAGGCAUCCCAUUGUGCUUUCUCUAUGAAUUUAUAUGUUUCAGGGGGUUGGCUUAAUUUCUCCCUGUCAUUGGUGUAUGGAAGGAUAUAAUGCCUCGUUAGUGUAGACUUGAAAUCCUUCCAUUUCUUGGAAGCAGAAGCUAAAACAGAGGUCUUGCCCCCUUGGCCUACGACAAAAGCCAUGUCAACUGCUUCCCAAAUCUGCUCCUUUAUAUCCUUGGAGAUUUGGGACCAUUUCUUGUCCACAAGUGGGAUCCUGGAGCGUGCCAACACACCAAUAUACGACUGCAUCUCAAUAUGUGCUUGGCUAACACCUUUUCCCCUUUUAUUGUACUCAACAAUUGGCCUCAGUUUCUGAAGCUUUCUCUUCACAACACGAGGCAUUGUGCUCAUACCUCGACCAGUCUUUGAAUCAUCAGAGAUUGUUGUCUGGCUGGUUGGUUCUGUCUCAGCAGAUGAUGAAGCAAACUUCAUCUUCUUCGAAGACUUCAUCUCCUUCGAAGACUUGUCUUGAGGAGCUACCAUUCCAAGCUUCUUGGAGCCAGAAUCCUUAGUUUGUUGUUGAGAAACCAUUUUAACAGACAAAACUGCAAGUGAAAAUAUUUCAGGAAAACAUUAAGAACACAAACGACGGUAUUAAAAAAAUACGACGUCUGAUAUGAUUUUAGACGACGCAAUGAAAUAAUCUCAGACGUAAUAAAUGUUUAAAACCAUUAUUUAUAUAACGUCGUGGUAUAUAUGUUCACACGACGUCAAUAGUAAUACACCGUCGUGGUAAACUAUUAUUUAUAUAACGUCGUGGUAUUUAUGUUCAUAAGACGUCAAUAGUAAUACACCGUCGUGGUAUUAACAUUCACACGACGUAAAACAAUAAGAUAUUUUGUCGUCUAUAUUAGAUACCAACCCUAGUUUCUUUUUCUUUAUAUUUUAUCAAAUAAGGGAAAAACAAAAACCAUUGUUCAGAGAAAUCAAACCUGCAAUUAAACAAGCAUAUAAAAAAAGACUAUUAUUUUAAAAACAACUUUGUCAAUUUUCAGACGACGCUAGAACAACUGACGAACCGUCGUGGUCUACCGUCGUCUUAUUUAGUUGAGGUAGUUGUCUUCAAAGUUGGAAACUUUCCCUCUUUGUCUGUAUAUUUUAUCAAACUUGGAAAGAAGUAAAAUGAUUUUGGCCAGAAAAAAGGUAAAAAGAUUUUUCAAACAAAAAACGUAUGAGCAUGCAAAACAGUAACCAAAAUAGUGAAAAUGAAAGCUUACCUUUUGCGUGCAAUGAAAGCAAGAGGAAGAUGAUCGAUGUUUAAGUUCAGAGACGACGAAGAAGACGAGAGGAAGACGAUGAGAAACUCUGACAAUGCUCUGACAAGGAAAAAAGACGAAAAGGUUUCUCUGGGAGAUUGAAAUUUUUAAUCGGGUUUGGAAACAGUGCAUGUGUAAGUCGAAAAGUUGCUUACAUAUAAAACCAUUUCAAAAAAAUAAUACGGCGGUUACAUUUAACUACGUCGUUUUUAACUAAAACGACGCAAUAUUUUUCAUUCGACGUGGAAUCAUUUCAUUUAACGUCGUUAGGUUUAAUAUAACCGACGUGGAUUUUAAUUUUUAAAUUAUGAAUAGAAUUUUUUUUCCCGUGACCUUUCAGUUUAUUUUUCAAUUACAGUGCGUUAUAAAUAGAGUUUUUUUUCCGGAGGAAAUUUAAAACGAAGGAAAUUAAUAUUCUGCAAUAUGUAAAGUUUCUUUUUUGGAUGACAGAUUUAAAUAAAAUAAGAAUAUAAAAACAACAAAUGUGUAAGUCAAGUAGACGAAAAGUUGCUUACAUAUAAAACCAUUUCAAAAAAAUAAUAUGGCGGUUACAUAUAACUACGACGUAUAAAUUACAAAAUACGACGGUACAUUUAACUUCGGACGUGGUAAAUAAAUACGACAGUAGUUUGUAGGUACCGUCGUAGUAAACUCAAAAAUUAAAGUACAUAAGUAAUAACUCGCGUCAUGGUAGAUUAUUUAACACGUCGUCUUUAUUAAUUUACCGACGUGGAUUUCUGUAAUAUACGUCGAUCAUACCGACGUUGAUUUUACAAUUUAAACGGCGGUUUUUUUGUAAGGACCGCCGUUGGUUUUAAAAAUUUAUUCUAUAAAUUUGUCGCUUUCAUUCAUUUUCGGUUUACAUUUAAGGUUCCAAGUUCUUCCUCUCUCAGUCUCUCAUGUCUCAAAGACAAUAAUUUGGAUGUUUUCUCAAAGAGAAAUUGAGCUUACUCGCAUCAAAUAUAUGUCCACAAGAAGAAGCUUGUCAACUAGCCUUCUCACUUCCUUGAUCAAGCCUGAUAGGACACUUAAUGCUUCUGAAUACUCCUUGCUUUCCAUCAAAAGAGAUGCAAGCCUGGCCUCCACUCGCUGUCGAAGGAAAGUUCGCUUCUCAGGGAAAUCUGAAGAUCAGAUGUGCCUGAUCCUCUGCUUGAUUUUCUUGCCUAAGAAGAUCCGUCGGAUUUGUGAUAGCCUCUUCCUUUAUCCGUAGAGCUUCAGAAGAAGAAGAUGGGUUUCAAGAAUGCGAUAAAGAAUAGAAAUGGCUUCAGAUGGCCUCUAAAGCAUGAGCAAUUGAAUCAGUAGUUUCUGGGAGAUAUGAUGAAGACAUUGUCAAUGCUUUGAACUAUACAAGUCCUGCAAAAAGAUAUGUUAAAGAAACUGAAACAACGGCGGUUUUCUGUUCUACCGUCGUCUUUUCUCGUCGUCUAUAUUAAGUUAAGAUGGCGGUAGAUUUAUAAUUACCGACGUAGAUUAUUUUGUUAAACGUCGUUAAGUGUAUUACAACCGACGUGGAUUUUAUUUUUAAAUUAUAAAUAGAGUUUUUUUUCCCGUAUUCUUUCAGUUUUAGUUUUCAAUUCCAAAGCGUGAUAAAUAGAUUUUUCUUUCCCGAGGAAAUUUAAAAUGAGGGAAAUUAAUGUUCUAGAAUUUGUAAACUAACACGACGCAAUAUUUGCAAAUCUGUGUCAUCUGUUAAGAUUAUGAUGUGGAACAGAGUUCCAUCUGGUAAGAUUUCGUAACCCUUGGGAUCUCAGACAAAUCUGAUUAUGUCAGCGGUGUUCUAUAUAAACCGUCGUGGUUAUUUCAAUUCUUGUCAUUAAGUAGAUCUACCGACGUAGGAUAAGAAAAUCAAAGAAAAAAAUUGUUAACAAAAAUUCUUAUUAAGACGACCGUUAAAAUUAAAGGUACGACGUAUAAAAUGAAUAAAUACGACGAUAAAUUUUAUUGUACGAUUUAAAGAUAACGUCGUAGAACUAUACGAGAAUGACGUCGAUAUAUUUAUAUUUUCCGUCGUUGUAAAUUUAUUUAAUACGGCGAUAUUUUGUAUUUUAAAGCCGUGGAUUUGUUUGUAAUUAUACGGCGUCUUAUACGAAAACCUCGUCGUGUUAUUUUAUGAGUAAAAACGGCAGUUUUUAUUGAAAUCGUCGUCUUUACUUUCUACGUCGGUCGAUUCAUAACUUCUGCCGUUCUUUGUUGGCAUUGAUUUUACACUGCGGAAAUCUGUUUCAAAUAGACGUUGGUUGUUUAAUUAUGUACGUCGUUGUUUUUGAACAGCCAUUUGAAACUCCAUUUUUUAGUUGUCUAAGGUUGUAUUACACGACGGUGUUUUUAGAACCGUCGUCUUUUUAUAAACCACGACGGUUUUCACUUAGACCGUCGUUGUUUUCUAGUCGUCUUUUUCACUUUUUGUAGUAGUGACGAUAAACAUCCUCGUGAAACCACAAUCUGCUACGUUCACCAGGCUCAUUUGGUGACUCUUGAUAAACUAAUCCUCUACCCAAUUCUUCAAGCAAGUCAUGCAUCCCAAUUGUGCCAUGCUCAAUAUUUAUGAGGGCCUUGUCUACGAGUACUUUAAUAGCAUACUUAGGCUUGAGGUCACAACCUUCCAGGAUCGGUAUCACAUUGUACACCUUUCUACCUUUAAAGAAACAUGCUAUGUCAAGGAAAACUUCUUGCACUGAAUAUUCCAAUGCAUCAUAGCUUAUUUUGAGAGUUUUUUUAAUGUCCGAGUGCAGAUUCCCAUCCAAUGCAUCAUGUCACUCAUCUAUACUUCUACCACAUAGAUGAGAACCUAAAACCUUGAGAGCUAAAGGAAGACCUUGAGCAUGCUUCACCACAGUUUCUGCAGCUUUCACAUAAUCAUCAUCCAAAUUUUUAUUUCUCCCACCAUUCCAACUAAUGAAGAGAUCAAGAGAUUCACCAAAGUCUAAUUUCUUGGCCUUGUAUAUUAUACUAACUUGAUGAGAAGUUAGCAAAUGCUUAUCUCUUGUCGUUAUGAUAAUUCUACUGCCCAAACCAAACCAAUCACAACCUCCAACUAAGUUGUUUAACUGGUCCAAAUGAUCCACAUCAUCUACAAUUACAAGGACCUUUUUACGACUCAACCUUUCCUUUAUCACAUUGAUUCCUUUAUCGGCACUGGUAACCUUUAUGGUCGCUUACUGAAAAAAGCUAGUCAUGAAGUUUUCAGGGGGAGAUAUUCAUCAGGGGGAGCAUGGUAUUAAUAAAGACCUUCACACACUGUACUCUUUUUCCUUCAUCCAGGUUUUUAUCCCACUGGGUUUUUCCUGGUAAAGUUUUAACGAGGCAGUAUCGCUGAAGAUUGACUCACAGAAGCAGUGUCAACUACGAUAUUCAGAAAGAUGAUCAACAGUAUGGCUUAAAGAUAUUUUGCCAAGCAUCAGGGGGAGCGUGCUACCAAUAAAGAUCUUCAAACACUGUACUCUUUUUCCUUCGUCCAGGUUUUUAUCCCACUGGGUUUUUCCUGGCAAGGUUUUAACGAGGCAGUGUCGCACGCGUGUCAAUAUACACAGAAUUUUAUGUUACACAUGAUUAUGUACUCUUUUUCCCUUUGACCAGUUUUUGUCCCAUUGGAUUUUUACUGGCAAGGUUUUUAACGAGGCAUAUUCCAUAUCAUUUGUGGUCUCCAAGGGGGAGUGUUGUAAAUAAUAAGGUGGAGCCCACCUCCAAUUGAAAGAGGCUUUGCCUACAAAAGGGUUCACACCAUUCCUUUGUAAUUUGAGAUUGAUAAUACUAAGAGAGGAAUCCUACUGUUUCCUCCUAUCUCAAUUCCCUCUCCACUUUCUCUAGAUUUAUAACAUUUUCAACAUUUUUCAUGUAUUUUUCGGUUUCAUAUCGUGAUAUAUUGCCCAAAUAAUGCAUGAAAAAUGUUGAAAUUAUCGUCUACGACAUUAUCCCGAUAAUAUCGACAAAAAUAUUGAUAUAUUGACGAUAAUUAAGUGGAUAUGUGCAAAAAUAUCUCCCACUCAAAAAAGAAUUGACGAUAUUUAAUACUAUGGUUGUGAUCAAUGUUAUGGCUAGUACCCAAUGUUAUAUAACUCGCAAGAAAGAAUUCAACCUACCCGUAGUUUAGACAGUAACUAUUUAAUUAAAGAUUACAAUCUGGUUUGGUUAAGUUAACUGACUAUAUAUAUUCUGGAAAAAAAAAAACUGACUAUAUAUAUAUUUAUAAAUAAAUAAAAACAACUUGUGUACUUUGUUUUUGUUUGUUUAUUUGUUAAAAAAUAAUAUAUGGUUUAAUGGGUUGUCUUGUUAAGGGAAAGCAAUAAUUUAAACUUUUGGAAAAACAAUAAUCCCAAAUGUAAGAACCAUUCAUCCACUAAUAGCUUGCAAAAAUAUAAUUUAAAUGGAAAAACAAAAAACAAAUACACUAGUAAUAAGUUGGGAGAUUCAUUAUAAUACCCAAUAUAGGAGUCCAAAUUAUAAAAAAAGCCCUAUAUGAAAUAGACUUUAGAAACACACCAAAAGCUCAUUUACAACAUAACAAAAAGGCUUUUAACUUCUUUUAAAUUACAAUAUUGCCAUUGAUUUCUUAAAACAAACCCAGCCCAAAAACCUCAUAAAAAAGCCCAAAACACUCAAUGGGGCAUCGAAGUAAUUUAAUGAUUAUAAUUAAAUUCAACAGGGUCUGCUGUCAUUUUUUGGGUUUUUUUUGAGUAUGUUUAUAGAAAUUAAAUAGUGUAGGAUUUAUUUAUAGUUUUAGUGCUAAGAAUGAGUAUUUGACUAAAUAUUUCUAAUGAGUUUAUGUAUCUACUAAAACUUAAUUACAUGGAGGCAAUCUAAUGGAUCACUAAUGAUUUUUUAAUCAAAACAACCUAGUUAUAUAUAAUUACUGAAAAAAAUAAUAAUCUCAUUUUUCACGGCCCGAGAAGCGAGCAAAGGUCCUUCAACAAGUUAAACAUGUUUAGAAGGUGUCACCAAGGCACAAAACGGUCCAUAAGCAAACGAACUUUGGCAUCUGAAAGCGUAGAGGAAUCCAAGUCCCUCUGAAUCUGAGCCAUUCUGCUGCUCUCUUUUCUUGCUUCUUUCAACACUUGUCGUUGUUCUUCAACCUCAUCAUCACCUUCUCCUUGCUUGGCCUUUGAUGAAAACACCAUUCGCUUCUUAGCCCCCACCUUGUCUUUCAGCUUUGCCAACUCGCUCAUCCAAACCUCCACCACUGCAGACAUGCUUGAACUUGAAAACUUGAAAUUCUGGCUUGGUCUUGAAUCUUGAGUUUGAUCAAGGAUGAUGAGGAGAGCUGGCUAUUAUGGUUGUUGGUUAUAUAGAAGACAGAGAGAGAGAAAGAGGGCCUUGCCCUUCAUGUGGUUUGGAUUGGAUGAAAAAUCAGUUUGUCACAGACAGCCGUUGGUUAUAGGCUCGCACACAGGAUUAAGUUUUAGGAAUCUUCCUUGGAAAGAGAGAGAGAGAGAGAGAGAGAGAGAGAGACAAGAAAGGGGUAUGAGUUUUGUUGUGUGAAUGAAAAGCUUCCCCGCGGGCGGGCGACUUGGCAUAUCAUCAAUAGUAUUCCAUUGCGAAUCUCUUUCUCCGAAAUACCUAUUCACCUCUUCAUCAUCAUCUUCAGUAAAAGUAGCCAUCUUCAUUAUCUUCACAGCUGAAGUAGUCAGGUUCCGAGUCUUGCUCAUCUUCACAUAGAUCAACACAAUUAUCUCCAUCAAACCUCUCAUUAGCAUCUUCCAAGUUAUCGGAUUCAGACUCACCAUCUUCCGUAAAUAUAGACAGGUCUUCAUCAUCCUGUGUCAUUACCAGGUGGACCCCGAAGCUUUUAAAAUGCAGCGAAUCUUGUGUCAAAUUCUGGAAAUUAACUCGACACGCAAAAGGCGACUGCGGCCAGGUAAUCCGAUCAGCCCGGUAAAACAUUUCUCUGAAUCGAAUAUAGCACAGCCACACAUGACCUGACCCUAUCUUUCUGAAAUGGUAAUCGAACCGAAUAAAAUGAGGUAGCA